UUGUCCCUAGGUAGGCAAGCAUCUACCAUAUUUACUGUUGCCGUGGGAAAUGGGUCGAUAUCAACACUCAUCUUCUUCUGUGGAAAUCUGAGUUUGCCGUUAUCAAUCCAGCUUUGGACGUUAUCUCGAAACACGACGUAAUUAUUUGUCAUGUGUUUGCUUGAAUUAUGGUAUUUGCAACCUUUAUCAAUCCAGCCACAUCUUCCUUUUCUCACCCACAGACUCCAAAUCCAAAUAACUCAAUACCUCGACGGCUCCAAUUCCUAUGCACUUCCUUCGUCAAUUCAUCCUGUGUCCUUCAGCCCCGCGCUGUCGCUCACAGCUUCUAAUCAAUGGUAACGUUUAGAGUCCUGCAAAUUGGCUUAAUUUCUCAGAUGUAUCAAUAUGCAAUUGGCUUAAUCGCCUCUCUCUCUCUCAAUUAUGGUGUAAUUGGUUAUUUUAUUAAUCAUUUUUAUCUGAAGCUCCUUGUUGGAUUAUAAAUUGUAAUGCUGUUUUGGAUGCAUAUGUUGCAUUAAAUUUGGGUUAUAGAUUGAAAACUGACCGACCAGUUUCACCACCAGAUGAAGAAACCAAUUGUUAGAACCAGAAGCACUUGAAGAAAUAAUCGAUGAUUCGGAUAUACAUUCAAAUUUAAUUACUUUCGUUUUCUUAAUUUUUUUUCCGUUUGCAAAAAUUGGAUCAAACUACUUAUCUGCAUCUCACUGCAAUUCUAUGGGUGGUUAUAUGGGUUAGUUGAAAUCUAAAGAAGAAACUUGAUUAGGGUGUAUUUUGUAUCAAUUUUUUGAUAAUAUUUUUGUUUGGGUUAAAACUGGAACUUUGGGCUCAAAAGGAAGUUAGCCCAGAAAAAGGUAUAGAAGGAAGGAAGCCCAAGGCUCAGUCGAAGCUCAGAACACGGAAGAAGCCCUAUUCCCGACUAAGUGCGGAUCACUUGAGCCACUUGCUCACCUACCUAGAAGUUAAGUGGUGUAGACUAGCCAGCUAAUCAGCCCAAAAGUACUUUACAAUGGCAGUACAAGUAAAAAGCUGAUGAGUGACUACCCUUCAGCCGCAUUAGGGCAAGAUUGAUGCUGCAGGCAGCCAAGCCAAAUCAUCUAUAAAAAGGGAAAUAGAAAUCAGAGAUAGGGACACUCAAUCAAACAAACAAAUACACAAACUCUGCUCAAGCCAGAUUUGCAUACGAAGCUAUAGUCAGCACCAAGCCUUAAUCCUUUUCAAGAUCAACCUUCACCAAAAGCCUUUGUAAAAGCUCUGUUACCUUGUCUGAAUCUUGUUGUAGUAUCGAUUCCUUCCUGUAAACUCAUCUCCCAAUCUCCCUUCUAGCACUCAAACCCUUUGUCAAUCACAAAGAGAGGAAGUUGCAAGACGAUCAGCCUUGCCCGACCCUCUUUGUUCUGUCUUUUCAUUCACAAAUCUAGUAAUAUGAUGUAUACUUCCAUCUGUAUCCAAGUUAUUUCUAGCAAGUUUAUGAUUAAAAGGCUUCUUGGUUUUUGGAUCUGGUCGGUUUAAUGGUGUCCAACCAUGCAAAAGAUAAAAUGGGAAUCUGCACUCAUAGCUUGACCAGAUCUAAGUUAUAACCUUUCGGGCAUACGAGAUUUAUCAAUCGAAAGUCCUUGGUCUCUAGGCAUAAAAAAGAACAUUAUGUGGACUUAACCCAUCCACGACAUUCCUUGAUAACAAGAAGUCCGAAGUUACUUGGGGCGCAAGUAAUCAGCAUAUUUCUUAGUUUUACUUCUGUUAUAUUAUGAUUGUCACAUAACGCUUGAGUAUAGAAUUACUUCUGAUGGGAAGUAUCAAGGCCUAUACCUAAGGCCCUACAAAGGCAUCUAUCUGGGUUCGUUCUGCUCUUCGGGCUCAGGUGAUUGAAGUAUAAUAGUUGUAAUACUUCUGCAACAAUGAACCAACCACUAUAUGUUCGAGUACUUGGUCAGUUUUGAUUACGAGCCUUAAGGCCUACACCUUAGGCCCUACAAAAGCACAUUUCAUAGCUAACAUGGUCUCUCGGGCAUAUACAAUUAAACUAAACAUCUGUUUUACAUCUGUCAUGCUAAAGAUGGCAAUGGCACGUCUGAACACCUAAAGUUAAUUUUGAUUGUGACACACGACAUCAAAAUGGCCUCUAAAAUUGAAAAUUGAUCAAUGUAGUCCCGCAAGUAAGUGUUUCAAAUCAAUGUAGUCCUUCUGUCAUAAUUUUGUCAAAAAUUAUGUUAUGUGAUGGUAUGACACAUUAAUAGUUGAAUAUCAGAGUGCACAUACCACAAUAAACGAACAAACGGAUUACAAAACUAGAAAUAGUAUUGAUCAAACGAGAACGCCGAAACGGCUAUAGAAUCCCAAGAGACUACAUUGUGAAUAACUUAUUAUACUAUAGAGUUACAAAGUACCAUAUAUAUUGAAAACUAACAUAACCCUAAUAAGCAAGGAAACGAAAUCCUAAUACUAACGGGCUAAGCCCAAAACACCAAAUAUUAAAAUAAAUCUAAAUACUAAUAUUUUCCAACAUUAAUAGCUCACACAAGUCUAAUUAAAUUUUAAAAAAUUACAAAUAAGCUUAAUAAUUUAAUGUUACUAAAAAAAUUGUCAACCCAAAAACCCAAUCCUGCAAUCACCUCCGAUCCCAGUCCACAUUUCUAUACCUCAGUCGCUCUCUAUUCUUUGGAUCGAUAUCACCUUUGGUGUCGACUUAGUCCAUUGGCAAUGACUUAUGGGACAUCAUCGUUAACAUUUAGGUGAUCAACAUUCUCACAACCUUAAACUUGGAGAGCUUGUUCGGGUCUUCCCUAGUGGUCUGGUGUUGCAAAGAACAACGAGAUUUGCCUUAAGAUAAUGAGGCUAUAACCGAGGUGCAUCCAUUGUUGGUUGAAAACUAUUUCCAUACCCCUCUCAAGCCUUGGUUAAGCCUUGUGCCUUUGAGAAUUUAUGGAAGGGAUCUCUCUUCGGAGUAGGCCUUACUAUAAGAAAAAAUAUUUUUGUUGUGCAAAAAGGUAUUUAGACAACUUUUUUAAGUAAUUAUAAAACCACAUCAGCACAUGACAAAUUUUUUUUUACAGAAUUGUAGCCGAAAGAUCAUAUUGAUUUGCGACACCUAUUUUGAAGGACUACAUUGAUUGAUUUUUAAUUUCAGGGACCAUAUUGAUGGUGUGGGUCAAUUUCAGGGACCGUUUGUGAGAAAACCCCAUAAAUCUUGUGGGACCUAUUUAUUUGCCACAUAAGCACUUAAUAGAAUUUUAACAAAAUUGUGACAGCAUAACCACAUUGAUUUGCGACACCUAUUUUCAAGGACUACAUUGAUUGAUUUUUAAUUUCAAGGACCAUCUUGAUGGUAAGAGUUAAUUUCAAGGAUCAUUUGUGAUAAAAAACCUUCUCACUAAUAGCUCACAAAUUAGAUUUGUAAUAUUGCAUUAGUCUUCCAGAAAAUGAAUGCGUAAUUCCGAGUUUCCAAUUGCCACUAGAAAGUGCAGGCGAUCUUUGGUACCAGUCAAUAGAAGAAAAUCUAUUCUAUUUAAGCGUUGAUGAACAUGCUCAUUUUUAUUAGUGACAAAUAAUUUCAUUUACAAAUUUUUUGUCUAUAAAUUUAGUAUCCCUUAGAUUACCCUAUUUUAUUUAUUCAACACCCUGACAAGGUGUUAGGUAUGCAACUUGGUUCUUUUCUAUGAAUUGAUCACAGAGCGGCCUAAGAAGUCAAGGCUCAAGCUCACCGUCGUUAUAUUUUUUAGGUUUAGGCCGUAUUACCAGGUUGCUCCGUUGGCCAGGUGAUUGUGAAAUAACAUAAAACAAACAACAAGAAAUUGCCAAGUCUUACGAAAAGAAAGAUAACAAAAAACUUCAAAAGCAACCCAAAAUAAUGCAUCAAAUGUGGUAGGGGUAUUUUUGUCAUUUAACAGUGUUUUUUUAAAAUUAAUUUUUUUGUAUAUAUUUUUUUUUGUUUUGAUAAUUAGUACCUCACAAUAGGCUAACAAUAAUGUGAUUCAAUAAAUUGUUUAUUAAAUAUUAUUUUCUCUAUUUUUAAACACAUUCAAAACAUCUUAAGGUGGGUAAUGCCGAUUAUAAAAAUAGUCUUUCACACGCGGAAAAUAUGUACUUAUAUUAGUUGUCAAAUGAUUUUUUUUUUUCGAACAAAAGAUAUUAUCUACACUAAGGGGGAGGGGGUGGGCUUAGCCUCACAAUAGGCUAGCAAUAAUAUGAUUCAAUCAGUUGUUUAUUAAAUAUUAUUUUCUCUAUUGUUAAUAUAAAUUCAAUAGAGACUGAUUUUAUUAUGUGGAUUCAACUACUUUAAUUGGUUUAUGAGGGGUUUUUUCUAGUAUGAUCUAAGAGUAUUCAUCUACCCAAAAUAUUUGACUUUUCUUUUGUCAAUUUACGCAUAUAAAUACAUUAAAAAUGUGUAAGCCGCGCGUAGCAUGCCGUAAUAUUACGUAGCUGUCACUUUUUCCAUUGAAAAAUAUAAUUUUGAGGAGAAGUUUUUGCUCAAACUUGGAAUUUUAUGAAAAGAGCUUCCUUUUUCUAGAUCCAUCCCCACAACAACGGUAGACAAAGACGCUAUGGAAAAAUUUACAAGUCAGUCAACAAAGAUUUUUUGAAAUACACGAUUGUAAUUUUGAUUCACCAACGCAACAAAGUGAAGUUAGUAUCUUUGAUUCACCAAGCCAUGAGAGGGAAAGCUUUGAAUUCGCCACCCAAUUGUUAUCAUUUUAAUUAACGUGGUAUUAUUAAUUGGUAUCAUUGAUUAUUUUUUGUGGGAUUAUUGAUUGAUACUAUUUUUUUUUUAGUCAAACGAUAGAUUUUGUUAGAUUAACUAAUGACGAAGUUUGAACCCACGUCGUCAUGUAAGAGUUCAAUAUCUUUCCACCAUUAUAGUAAAGGUCACUUGCAAUUUAUACGUUGAUUAUUUGUUUUACAUGCACCCAAUAAUUCUUUCAAAUAAUGUUUUUGUAACUCAAAAUCCCAUUUUGCCCUUCGGCAAUUUUCUUUCUUGACCCAACACCCAAACAGCCAUCAAAUCAACCCAACCAACCGCCGACGACCACCUAUUCCAACCAACACUAUCUUCUUUCUUUCCUUUGUACGGAAAUGGUUUGGUUUGAGGUCAGAAAUGUUAUGUCUAUCCCUAUAAUCACAUAAAUUAAUUAUAUUCAUAACUGCAAAUUAAUCAUCGGAUAUUAUCAAUAAUCAUACUCAUCAGGUAACGGAUUUCUCAUCAGUUAACGCUUAUAUCCAUCUUCAUUGCUACAAAAAAAAUUAAAAAAAAAUUGAUCAAUUGAUACAUUAUAAUUUAGUAAAUAUUAAUUCAGUAAUAAAAUAUUUGAUGUAUAAUAAAAUGAUUUUUGAUCAUGUGGAAUAUAAAAAUUAAAGCUAAACAUUGAUGAUGUCGGCUGAUCUUUGAUAUCUCUUAUAAGUACCAUUGAAUUGUUAUUGAUCUUGAUUCAAAACUUUUGAACUUUUCAACAAAAUGCAACUCACAUAAAAAAUAAAAUAAAUAAUAAAAAAAACAAUGAUCGAAAAAACAUAUUUGGAAGAAGAGAAAAUAUAGUUUAAUUACUAAUAUCUCCACUAAAUAAGGAAAAGUGCAUAAUGCAGAUAAAACGAUAAAUUCAAAAUUUAUUUUAAUUUUAAAAAAUAAAGGUGACUAUUGGUCAAAGCAUUUUAAUCAAAUUUUUAAAAGACACAAAUGUUUAAUCUAAAUGAUAUAGAAAAACUGUAGAAGAUUCUAAGGACAUGUUUACUACUUUACUUGAAUCCAACUUUUUAAACUCAAAAAUAAUUUUCAAGUUUUAGGCCUUAAAAAAUUGUUUGGUAGGCCUUAAAAAAUCAUUUUAGAUUUCUUUGUCUAGUUUAAGUUGUAAGGUUUAAAAUUUUUAAAUCGCAAAUCAAUCAAUUUUUUGAGUCUUAAAGAAAAUUAUUUUUAAAAAAAUAUUUUGAGAAAUGAUAAAAAAAUUUAAAUAGAAAAUUUUCCCUUUUCAAAAAUAGACUAUUCUUAAUAAUAAUAGCUCAUAAAAUUAAAUUUGUCCUCAAAUUUGAUAUGGCAUUUGUGUCAGACAAUGACAGGUGAUGUGUGAUUUCAAAAUUCACAUACUACGUGUUUUUGUGGUUGUUGGAAUUUUAAAAGUAUACUGAAAAUGAUUGAAGCACCAUUCCAACUGCCACUACAAAGCGAGGGCGAUCAACAGAAGAAAUCUAAAUUUUCUUUUUAGUCAACUAACCUUACAGUGGCACCUUGACUCUUCUACCAAUUACUUUUUUAUUUUCUCAACCAACAAAUAUCAAGGCAUCAUGGCAUGCAUAAUGCAACUUUUGUAUUUUCAAGACAAUAAAUUCGGUGAAUAAUGAAUAUACAUAUAUAUAUAAAUUAUAUUAUAUAUUAUUCGGGUUGAAUUUGAGGACGGAUACAAAUUGGGAACCCCUAAAAUCAUAUCCAAAACCAUAACCGAAUAUAUUCCCGGUUUUUUCCCUUAUCCAAAAUAUACACGAAUUUUCAUACCCAAAUCCAACUCAUUUAAGCGGUUAUCCACGAUUAUCGGGUUUAUAUAUUAGAAUUAUCAUCCUUAUUCCUUCCCACGAUUACCGGACCAUUCUGCCGUGGUGAAUCCUCUCCUUCCUUUCUCUGUAUACAUUCCUUUUCCUCUCCUCCUAUCUCUCCAUGUGUUGCUAACUCCCUAACAACCAGGUUGCUAGGUGAUGGUGAAAUAACAUAAAACAACCAAGAAGAAGAAAUUGUUAAGUCCAACGAAAUAUACGACUGUUAUCUUGAUUACAACCCAUGAAAGUGAAAGCCUGGAAUUGGCAACAGGAUUGUUAUCUUUUUAAUAACGUGUUAUUGUUCAAAAGUGGAGCCAUAUAAAUUUUUUAAUGGGUGAGCUAACUAAAGUUUACUUGUCAAAUAAUGAAAUUCCUUUUAAAACUAUUUUUUUUCAAAGACUCAUGCUAGAAUUCUACUCUUUAAUCUGGGAAAAAACAAUCCAACAAAGAAAAAUCUGGGAAAAAUAAUAUAGGUCUGUAACAAACGUUUCCAUUUUUAAUUGCUAUAUUGAUUUAUAAAUAAGAAAAGGGUCAUUAAGUCUCCUUAUUAUCUGCUAUUUUUCCAUAAAUCUCACAAGAAUUGGACUUGACAAGUUAAUAUCUGAGUUAUCUAUGGUUCUGGUCCCUUCCUCAGAACCCUAUUGGUUGUAUGCUUUAGAUUCUGUGCGGCUUCUGUCCAUGAAUCCAAAGAAGAUGUCUCGGGUCUGUGUGGAUUGGAGUGACUAUGUCUUUGACUCUGUUGCUUAUGGUGACAAGUUCCAUUUUGAGGAAUUAUGAAGCUAUGUUCCUCUCCUGCGUUUUAGCUUGAAAUUCGUUUGGAUAUGGCUUAUAGGGGAGUUGGUUUUAGGAAAGCACUAAUUUUGGGGGAGUAGAUCUCCUUUUAGGACUAUGUGUUGUAUAAUUUGUGCUUUACUUGGGAUUAUUUUUUAUGACAUGUGCUUAUUUGUCGUUCGUCUCAUUGUUACUACCCAUUGUUUGGGAGUACUUAUAUGAUCUGUUACUGAUGUUUAUCCAUUGUGCUUUAGCUGCUCAUGCAUUGUCUUAAUUGCUUAUCAUAUAUAUAUGCUUGAUGUUCUUGCGUGCGUUAUUUUGCCUUGAGACUUUGUCUUACCAUGACAAAAUGGGGGAGAAAGUUUGAAAGUUUGUGUUACAUUAAUUGCCAAUACUAUACCCAUGAUAAAUUUUACUUGUUCUUGUCAAGAGUUGCUUUUGUGCAGGAUUUGUUCCUUGGUUCUUCUCUCGAGUGUUGAGUGAGUCAAAUUAGUUUUAGGCUCCGGGUAAUUUGUCAAGGAAAGCCAAGGAAAGAGAUUGUGAAGUCUAGACUUACGUGUUUGGCUUUCCUUGUCAAUCUUGUAAUUAUGUAUGACACAUGCUUUUUGGAUCAAUUUUCCUUAAAUGAGACUUUAGUAUACUUGGUUCUAAAGUCUGGGUUAUGGAACAUCAAAGUGCAAAUGGUGUUGCUUCAUCACAAGCAAGGUUUGUACAUGCAUAUGCAUUUCACAUUUAAAUUUCUUAUGCAUUCUGGCUAAUGGUGUUGUCUGGUCAGAAUUGCUCGUUGUUUUCCAACUAAAUGGGCACACAAUUUAAGACAGCCCAUAUGUGCUGACUGACAGCUUAUAUCCGAGGUUGAAUCUAUGGCCCUUGAUCUGUUCAAAUUACAUUUGCAUUUGAGAAGUGUCAUUGUGGGUUGUUGGUUGCGGAAAAUCGUUUUGGGGUUAUUAGGGUUGUGGAGGUUUCACUUUGUUUUUUAGAGAGAUAAUAUAAUUUUUAGAGGGUCAUUGUUUUCCCUCUCCAUCUCAAAUCUAUCUAGAAGCAACAAGCAUUUUUCUGGGUAAUGUUCUUCAUUGAAUAUUUAUAAUUCUGUCAUGAAAAUUCUUGCUUACAUCUUCUUAGAAACUCAUUUGUUUUGGGUUAGAAAGCUUAAAAUUUUCAAGAGUGCAUUAAAAAGCUUUGUGCUUUCUCUUGUUUCAAGAGUGCAUUAAAAAGCUUUGUGCUUUCUCUUGUGUUCGUCACUUAAAACCUAGUUGCAUAACCUUUUCUUAUGCAUCAAAUUUGUGUAAACACUACACAUGCUUUAUGAGUUAAGGCUUGCAUUUUCCAUGGUCUAGUUGUUCGUAAGUUUCAAAUCUUUAAACAGACCUAGGUCGGAUUCACGUUGGUUUCUUUCUUCAACUGUUUGACUAGAAAAACUGAAGGCUGAAGACUUCUCCAUCUUGUGCAAAUGCCUUUAUUCACUCAAGUACUAAUGAGUGGUUUCUUUUUUCUUGAGAAAACGAUAUUAUCUAUAUUAAGAUGAAGGGGGUGAGCUUAACCUCACAAUGAGCUAAAAUUAAUGUGGUUCAAAUUCGCAUUUGGCAAGAUUCGAACGUAAAACCUCUCACUUACAAGUGAAGAGGAAUACCACUAGACUGUAGUACUAAGUGGUAAUAAUAAUGAAUGUUUAAUUUCAUUAGAUUUGAACGCUAACCUACCCCUAGGCUUUGCAAGUACUUUACAGGUGGUGUUGUGGGCAGCAAACACCCUUUUGAACUGUACAAUUAACCCAAUCGAUUUUUACAGAGGAACAACUACUUUUUUAUGGCAUUUUCGUAGUUUUGAGGGGAUGAAAGCUUGCAAUGUGGCCCAUCAAGCCACCAUCACCGGGUCAACCUCUCUUCUUUCCACCACCAUUUGGUCCACCUCUCCACCACAACAUAAUUCCCAGUUCUCAUAUUUAAGUUUUCUAAUCGAAGCUCUUAUUUAUAGGAUGUUAAACAUUGAAAAUAAUGCGUAUUGGAUGAAAAUUUUGGAUUCGCAAUAGACAUAGUUAUUGAUAUUACUUAUAGAAAACUAUAUAGAGUUUUCCCUUCUUUGUUCAUGUGAUGGUUUAGCUCAUAUGCAUAAGUAAUGAACAGAAUAAAGCCAUAGCAAGCGAUACCAUUUAUGAUUUUUCAUAUGGAAAAAGUAUCCUAUUGAUAAGGAUACUAUCAUAAAACAUUUUAAAAUUAUGAAACCACAUCAUAGACAAAUUUAGUCUUUGUAGUUUGUAUUGUCGUUUCGUCUAAAUUUAUUGAAACUUUUGUAUUGGGGCCACCCGACAUUAUAAUCAUGGAUCUGCCACUGCAUCAUAAGCAUAUUUAAAAAUAUAAAAAAAUAAAAAAAUAAAAAAAGCAAUCUCAAACUGGCCCUUAGAGAUUUAUAUAUACACAUAUUACUAUAUUAGUGUGUAUAAGUCCAAUCUCAGGGUAAUUCACCACUUGCAUAUACAAUUAUAUAUCUUAAAAUAUUACGUAGCUGUCACUUUUUCCAUUGAAAAAUAUAAUUUUGAGGAGAAGUUUUUGCUCAAACUUGGAAUUUUAUGAAAAGACCUUCAUUUCUCUAGAUCCAUCCCCACAAAAACAAUAGACAAAGACGCUAUUGAAAAAUUUACAAGUCAGUCAACAAAGAUUUUUUGAAAUACACGAUUGUAAUCUUGAUUCACCAACGCAACAAAGUGAAGUUAUUAUCUUUGAUUCACCAAGCCAUGAAAGGGAAAGCUUUGAAUUCGCCACCCAAUUGUUAUCAUUUUAAUUAACGUGGUAUUAUUAAUUGGUAAUAUUGAUUAUUUUUUGUGAGAUUAUUGAUUGAUACUCUUUUUUUUUUUGUCAAACGAUAGAUUUUGUUAGAUUAGCUAACGACGAAGUUUGAACCCACGUCAUCAUGUAAGAGCUCAAUAAGUCGCAACUUAUAGCCGCGCCGCCGCUAACACCACCGAGCCGAGCCUUGCUGCUGGUCUCUAGCCCAACAGUGUGGAGGACCUUGGGACAAUGUCGUUUGACUUCUGGACCACACGGCAGCAGCCAUUUGGGCUUUGCUGUACACGUAAAACACACCAGGCCCUCGGCCUGGUAGAGUUUCCUUGGGCCUCCAGCCCAGCCCAACUUCAAAAGAGGCCUGCAGCUCUCUUGGAUUUGUCUUACCAUGUCUCUGGCCCAAAAAAUCAGUAGCCCCAUGCUGCUAAGCCUUUGUCCUCAAGCCCAGCCCUGCUUACAACAAGCCAGAAGCCGGCUAGGCUUCACCCAAGCCUUCGGCCUAACUCACUAGCAGCUUAUGCUGCUAGGCUUGCCUUCCCCUCAGCCCAAAACCCAAAACCCAGCUUCGACUGGUCUUUCCCACACACCCAGGCCAGCCUCAUGCUGGGCCUAUCCCACCAUGCCCUGUUUGGCCCAAACUAGCAGCCCAUGUUGUUGGGCUCACCCCAAACCCACGGCCUUGAGGCCCAGUCCGUGGAUUGCAGCCAGCCCAAAUAAAGCUAGGUCAAAACCCUUUCUUGACCUUGUUUGUACCAUAUUUAGGUCCUCCGUAUUUAGACCUCGUAUAAAUACUCAGGGGACUCAAAUGUAAUUAUGUAAUAAAGGAAGGGGCAAAUAUGUAAUAAGUGAGGAGCCCUUAUUCUAUAAAAAUGACUCAUCACCUUCACAAUUGGGGGAGCCUCCUUACCCAUAGAGGCCUGACUCUCACUUCACAAACUCUCUCUCCCUCACCAUCAUCUUCAACAUCUCAGAGAAAUACAAUACUAGUGUAGACGUAGCCCAAACAUUGGGGUGAACCACGAUACAUCUUGUGUUAUUUACUUUCUUGCAGAUUCACGGUCGGAUUUUCGUUGUCCCAAGACCCCUCCGAUUUUGUGCAUCAACAUUUGGCGCCGUCUGUGGGAAUCGACACGAAAAGUUAUGUCGGUUCUCUUUCAUUUUUUUCACCUCCGCCGUGAAUCUGCAGAAAACCUCACUCUUUAGGCUUUUCCAGAAAACCUUUGCAGACUCUAUGCAGUUUUAAGAAACCAUCCAAAAACCCAUUUUCCAUCUCUCUCUCUUUUAUCUUUCUAGGCAACCAUGCCUCUCACAGAGAGCUCAACUGCAGGAGCAGAGCACAUGAAAUGAAGAAGACACAGACCCCACUAGCAAGCCUUUUUAGUGUGGUCAAGAUGCGCUGAGCUGUAGUGGAGUCCAACCCUGAGGUGGGCUCAUUCAGCAAAAUGGGCCCCAUUCGUGAAAAACGUUGCAAACUUGCAAUCUUUCAAACUUUUUCGCAUCUGGGUACUCCCCAAACUGGCUUUUUGAGCUAUUCUUUGAUCGGACCCAACACCUUCAAAGAUUCUGAGUAGAGCACCGGCCAUGUCGACAUCUCGGUCUUCAACCCCACCAAGCUCAACGCACAGAUCCGGGUCACCGACCCGACAUGGUCCUGCACCUCCGACUUGUUCACCUUGCGGGCCUCCACUCGCCUCCCCAUUUCCGCCCAGGAAGUCGUUGAGUCUUCUACUCCAGAUGGCUUCUACACUACCCGUGAGGCCACCCCCAUAUAAACAUCUCUCUCUAAGCUGUCUUCCAAUUAAACCACAAGCAUAGCAAAAUUCAUUCAGAUCCAUCAAUAUCAUUUUCUAUCUUUACGAAGCAGUGAUGUCAGUGUCUGAAGAAGCAGCGAUCUCUGUUUGGCUGCUGAAAACUAAGGAAAAUAAACUGCUCGAAUGAGGGAUUUGCCACUUCGGCUCGCCCUGCAACCAUCGCUCUCUAAAAAACCAGAACAUAAAAAACUUCAUCUGCAACAAUGGCGACGAAGAAUGCGAUGGAAGUCGUUAAGAACCUGGAUUUGCAGCGCUACAUGGGGCGGUGGUACGUCGACCUGGUUGUCGAUGUCUCGAAGCUCCAAUAGUUAUUCCCGUCCCGUCUGCUCCUUCCUUCUCCAUCUGAGGAGGUCAAUGAGGUUGCCAUCGAAGUAGAGCGAGAAAAUGAUGAAGGUGGCAUGGCAGGCGAAACAUUUACAAACUAUCGACCCUCCAAAACUAUCCAUUGGCCCUCCUCAUCCAGAUCCUGUUGUGGAAACAUCAUCCUUGGCUGCUGUGCAGCCACCUGAGCCCACUUACGAUAUGAAAAUCAAGGAUGAUUUGGAAAAUUUAAAGGCUUUGUCAUGUUUACAGAUUGAGAUAUUGGUCUACGCUUGUCAAAGACACCUGCAGCAUCUUCCAAAUGGUGAAAGGGCAAGAUUCUUCGUUGGGGAUGGAACUAGUGUGGGGAAAGGUCGAACAAUAGCAAGGUUAAUAUGGGAGAAUUGGCACCGUGGGAUGAGGAAAGCAGUCAUAUUGUACUCGGGUUUUCUCCUGCACCCAGAUCCCGUCAUGGCGCUCGAUCUCAGCUCCCUCACCUCUGUUAGGAGCUUCGUCUCCGAUUCCGGCAUUUGACUACAUCAGGGGUUAAGCAUCGAUCCAUGAGCUCACUGCUCUGUUACUUUAAACUGUCAUUCGGAGCUUUACCCAGCAACCAUGUGAUAAGUUCAAAAUACUCAACAAUAUUUUGGUAGAUCGGGAAAGCAAUAAUAAAAGCAAAUAGUCGUGGCUAUCAUGGCAAUGAUGGACUACUUUAUCGAGGACAUGGAAAAGGAGAAGCGUUUGUCCCAACCUACACCUCUGGGGAUAUGGUUGGAGGUGGUAUCAAUCAUGAUUCACAAGAAUUCUUUUCACUAAAAAUAGAGCCUUGGGGAUGGACUCGUGGACCAUGCAGCAGAAAAGAGAAAAAAAGAAAGCAAAAACAAGGAAUAAACACCCACACUGCAAAAGAAAGGAAUAAACACAUCACCAUAAUGAUGUGAUUUACUUUUCUAGUGUUUUUUAAUGAUGUGAUUUAUUUUUCUUAUCUUUCGAAGAUAUCUGUAUAAACCCCAUUAGAGGGUAAUAAAAAAAAGGAAAAAAAAAGGGCAAGCCCAAAGUAAUAGGCUAGAAUGUUAUGUGGAGGGCGAAGGCCCAUAUGCCUAAAAGAGCCAGGCCCUCUAUUACCACUAACCAGGUGAUCAAAAGUACGUCCAGUGCUACAAAAAUUAUUCGGCAGCCUGCCGCUAUUACCACCAACCAGGUGAUCAAAAGUACGUCCUACCACUAACCAGGUGAUCAAAAGUAAGCCCAGUACUCCAAAAUUAUUCGGCAGCCUGCCGCUAUUAUCACCAACCAGGUGAUCAAAAGUAUGUCCAGUACUCCAAAAUUAUACAUGAGCAUCAUUCAUGUCAAUCAUACAUAAGCAUUCAUGAGCAUCACUCAUGUCAAUCAUACAUAAACAUUCAUGACCAUCAUUCAUGUCAACAUUCAUGAGCAUCACUCAUGUUAACAUUCAUGAGCAUCACUCAUGUCAACAUCCAUGAGCAUCACUCAUGUCAAUCAACAUAAGCAUUCAUAAGCAUCACUCAUGUCAAUCUAGCUUCGAAAGCGUCAUUUAUAAAGCUCUAGCUUCAAAAGCUUCAUUUACAAAAGCUCUAGCUUCAAAAGCUUCAUUUACAGAGCUCUAGCUUCAAAAGCUUCAUUUACAAAAGCUUCAUUUAUAGAGCUCCAGCUUCAAAAGCUUCACUUGCAAAGCUUCACCUACAAAGCUUCAGUGCAGGGUAUACAAAUACCACUUCUGAACAACCGCCACUUCAGCCCAUACAUGGAUUCAAUUUGAAGUCUCCAGCCAACAGACUCUAUUGAUCGAAGACUUGGGGGACUACAUUAUGUACCAUAUAUUGGACCUCAACUAGGCCUCAUGAAAAAUACUUGGGAGACUUAGCCCAUUAUUUAUGUACUGAGGAGCGAGCCCUUAUUUUAUAAAAGGGACUCCCUCACUUUCAUUAAAGAGCACCCAUUCUUCAUAUACUGAGGAGCGAUCCUUUAUUUAAUAAAAGGGACUCCCUUACUUUUAUUAGAGAGCAUCGCUGCCAGCUGAGCAACCGUCUCGCCGCGAGCAUCACUCAUAACCCAUUGUUCAUGUACUGAGGAGUGAGCCCUUAUUUUAUAAAAAGGACUCCCUCACCUUCAUUAGAGAGCAUCACCGCCAGCUAAGCAACCGCCUCGUCGCGAGCAUCACUCUUAGCCCAUCACUUAUGUAUUGAGGAGGGAGCCCUUAUUUUAUAAAAGGGACUCCCUCACCUUCAUUAAAGAGCAUCACCGCCAGCUGAGCAACCGCCUCGCCACAAGCAUCACUCUUAGCCCAUCACUUAUUUAUUGAGGAGCGAGCCCUUAUUCUAUAAAAGGGACUCCCUCACCUUCAACGCCACAAGCCGAGUCAACCAAGGCAACAUAAGCCACAAACUGAGCAGCCUUGCAACAUGUGCUACUUCUAGUCAAUCAUCAGUUCAAGACAAACAUCUAGUUAUUUCGGCCCACACAUGGAUUGAAUUUCAAGUCUCCAGCCAAAAGACUCUCUUGACUGAAAACUUGGGGGACUACUGUUUAUACCAUAUUUAGGGUCUCUGUAUUUAGACCUCGUAUAAAUACUCGGGGGACUUAAAUGUAAUUAUGUAAUAAAGGAAUGGGCAAAUAUGUAAUAAGUGAGGAGCCCUUAUUAUAUAAAAGGGACUCUUCACCCUCACAAUUGGGGGAGCCUCCUCACCCUCAGAGGCCUAACUCUUACCUCACAAACUAUCUCUCCCUCACCAUCCUCUUCAACAUCUCAGAGAAAUACAAUACUAGUGUGGACGUAGCCAGUGGUGAAGCUACAGAGGGACUGGGAGGGUCCCCUUGCCGGAAAUUAAGCCCAUGAACGUGGUUCCGCCCCUCUAGUCUCGUCGGAAUGAAUGGCUGCACUGUAAUCUGCAGUUUCUGGGUUUCUGCUGCUGCACAGCAGCAACUUCUGUAAUUUUUUUUUUAAAUCCCUUAAAUGAAACGGCAUGCCGUUUCAUUUAGUAUUGAAAAAAAAAAUCCUUAAACAAACAACGCCGUUUCGUUAAUUGCUUAAAAAAAUAAAAAAAUUUAAAGGGGACCACUAUCCCCAUGCCUUCCAUUUUUCAAAGUAGACCUUCACUUUUUGAAAACCACCCCACUUUUUGAAAACCUCCAGCACAGCAGCCAACCUGAUGGGUUGGUUUUCCACUUCUCUCUCAAUUUUAGGUAAAUUUUGUAACUUUCUAAUUUAUAUUAUUCCUAACCCUAAUUGAUUAAUUAAUACAAAAUUUUAGUUAAUUAAUAUAGAAUCAUAGAGUAAUACACUAAUAUAGUUAUUGAUUUUUUAUUUUUGCAUAUAAAUAUGAAUCCUAUGAAUGAUUAUUAAUGAAUGAAAUUAUUGUCUAGAGUAAAAAUUGAAUUCUUGAUUAUUGAUAUUAAUCUAUUAAUUGAAUUUUUGUGUAUUAAAUAAUUUAUAUGAAUAUUGGUAUUAAUUAAUUGAAUUGUUGGUUUAAUUAGUUAGCACUCAUAUUGACUAUAGUAUAGCUUACUCUAGAAUUAAGAGUCUAAGAUUUUUUUUUUCUUUUUCAUAUAUAGUUAAACAAUGGAACAAUACUAUAAGAAACAAUGCUUAAAUCCUCCUUCAAAUAUUCCGGCUAGUCCUUCUUCAAAUAUUCCGAGUAGUCCUCCUUCGAAUAUUCCAAAUAUUUCUUCUUCGAGUAUUCCGGAUAGUUCCCAACAAAGUGAGGUCACUGAGUUUGAUGAAAUACUGGCUAAUCUUCAUGUAGACCCUAGACAUAGACAUUGAAUGCUUGAUUAUCCACCUAAUUAUCGUGAAGCAAUUCGCCGACAUUAUCUCCAAAACAAUCCUUGUCAACCUAAAGAUCACAUCAUGCCCAGAAAAGUUAGCAAUAAUCGAUGUUUUGUCACCCGUUGGUUUGAUAAUUUUAAGUGGUUGGAGUAUAGUAUAGUAAAACAUACCGCAUUUUGCCAUUAUUGCUAUCUAUUCAAGUGUGAUUUUGAUAAAGAGGGAAAUGCCGGAAGUGAUGUCUUCAUUGAGAUUGGGUUUACAAAUUGCCGGAAGUUCGCCCCUCCCCCCGAUAAAUCCUGGCUUCGCCACUGGACGUAGCCCAAACAUUGGGGUGAACCACGAUACAUCUUGUGUUAUUUACUUUCUUGCAGAUUCACGGUCGGAUUUACGUUGUCCCAAGACCCCUCCGGUUUUGUGCAUCAACAAACCUAAUGCCAAUUUUCGGAAUUCCCGUGUUAUAAAUUAUACCCAUUUAAUUUUUGGGGUAUUUUGGUUUACGCUAAUUAAUUUUAAUAUAAUUGUCACUUGGACUAUUGCCAACCAAAGUUAAUUUGACAAGUCUAUCAUUACUUUGCUUCCACGAUCGACCCCGUUUGGUCCUGAUCUGUUGGAUUAAUUAAAAGUUACCAACAGUCCAUUAAUCUGACAAUUAAUCCAAAACUAUUGACUUGAAAAUCACUUUUGGACAUUAUCGAUUCAAUAAUUUAUUUUUCUACUUUGAACCGUUAACAUUCUUUAGUAGUCCCAAAGCUCUCACACUUGAAUUCUCGAAGCAACUCAAAUCCACUACACUUAAAUCAGCAUAUUGUACUAUGUGUUCUUGCAUGAACCUCUCUUUUAUGAACUAAAUGUUCAUAAACUAAAUUGAACCUGCAGUUCAAAUUUAAUGCCUUUGAACCUGAAGUUUUCAUAAAACAAUAAACUCAUGAAAACCCGAAUUUUUCAUGUAUACCAUGUCUUAGAACCUGAAUGUUCUAACUUUGAUCGUUAUGGAUAUUUUAUUUCCUAUAGCAUUAUUCACAAUCUUGUUCCCUCCAUUUAGUGGAUUGUUGAACUGUCACAAGUUCGAUCUCACUGAUUUGGACGUUUCUAACAUAAACCACUUUAUGUGGGUACAAGAUGUGAAUCACCACUUAACUAUCAAGAAGCUGACAAACCAUUGUAGACAACAAUGGCAUGGAAGAGCAAAUCUCCACUUAACUAUCAAGAAGCUGAGAAAACAUUGUAGACAACAAUGACAUGAAAGAGCUGAAUAAGCCUCCGCCACGAUCUUUAUUCAAAGACAUUCCCGGAUAAUUACAAAGGGAAAUACCUCCCGAACGAGGAUUCCAUGGCUCUUGGCUCGCUUCUACGGACCAUUUAAUCAUGAAAGAUAUUGUCUGAAGCACACCAUGAUUACGUCCAUGAAUGAGCAUGGUUAUGAAGUUUAUAAAUCCGAUCGAAUUUUGAUUGGAGAAUACUUUUCUCAUCCUUCCAAGUUUCUAACUUACUCAUGAAGUAGCAAUGUAGAGAACGGAAGUUUACCAAGUUUUUGGAUCUGAUUACUACCACAAAUAUGAGAGAACAAUAUAGAUUCGGCUAUAGUCUACCGAAUGGUGGUGCCCUGCUUCGGCAGGGAUGCACCAAAGGUCAUGCUUUGUUCAGCAUAGGUGCACCAAACGGUAUUGCUCUAGUUCUACAGAGGCCUACCGAACAGACCCCUCCAACUUAGGCUGGAGCCUAUCGAACCCAAGUCUGGGUGUGUCUGUCACAAUCCAAUUUCGAGUUUGUUUUUACAACAUAUGGUAGAAUCAGGAAUUGCCAAGGUGUGACAUCAUGCUCGAAGCGUGAUCAUUGGCACCUAAGACCUAAAACUUCAAGAAUAACGGAUAAUAUUCUCGAACCUUAAUCCUGCAAAAUCUACUUCUGUCUCGAUGGAAUAGAUCAUUGGUUAUGGACCUGUUCGUGCCUCCACCAAUUUCGUUGAGGAGCACCAUUCUCGUAGUCAAUAUGUGAAACUAAUUUUCCUCCACUAACACCGUUGGAAAAGUAGAAUUUUGAUAUGAAUGGCCUUGUUGGCCGAAUCCCCUUAGUAAUUUUGAUUUACUUUGUGAACUUUUUUCUAUGUUCUUGGAUUCUAGUUUGGUGUUUGUUUUAGUUAUGGGUUAUCUUAUUGAUAUUGUCCUUGAAUAUGAGUUAAUUGAAUCAUGUUUCUUGUAUACAUGUGACCAAAUUCAAUUAAACAUGUGGUUAGGUAUGAAUGUGGGAAAGUUAGUUGUCUGGAUGAAUGCGAUACUACGGACACUAACUUUAUACCUAAAUCGCAUCUCUAGCAACAACUUCAGGUCUAACCAACCUGAUUAAGAGCAUUGGCACACUCCUCGUUGUAUGAGUGGUACUAAAUUUCAAGGGUUCACCACCCUACUUAUUCCAUAAAGUCUGGAAUACCGGAUAAUGUCGGAGACUUUAUAUCGAAGAUGCUUCGAUAAGUAUUGCAUGUCUUUCGGGUUCAUAAUUAGACAUCGAAUUCCCAUGUUCACCCCAAUAGCCUCGCAGAGUUAUCAUAAAGCGCAAUUUAAUUGAUCACCUGAACCUUGGUGAACGCACCAUGAUUUCAGUUUCUGCCUAGGCCUAUGCAAUCUUGUACGCAACUAUGUUGGGCCGCCUUGAGGCCCAUUGCCACCCAACCAUUUCAACAUUACAAUUGGUUACUGGGUACGAACCCGAUGUUUCGUAUUUACUCAUUUGGGUAUGCAUUCCUUGUGCCAAGUUGCACUGCCGCAACCAAUAUAGGUCUUCAAAAUAAGGAUGUGAAUCUUCGUCGAUUAUAAUUCUCCUUUACACUAGCUCUUUAGAGCCCUUGCAAGCUGUUGAUGUACAAAACCGGAGGUCUUGGAACAACGUAAAUCCGACCGUUAAUCUGCGAGAAAUGUAAAUAACACAAGAUGUAUCGUGGUUCACCCCAAGGUUUGGGCUACGUCCACACUGAUUAUAUUUAUCUGAGAGUAUUUGUGAGGAAGAGAGUGUGAGAGCUUUGCUCUAGAUAGGAGAGGCCAUUUUCUGAGGCAAAUUCCUAGGCCCUCUCACCACCUCUCAAGCAAUGUUGAUGCACAAAACCGGAGAACUUGGAACAACGUAAAUCCGACCAUGAAUAUGCAUGAAAUGUAAAUAACACAAGAUGUAUCAUGGUUCACCCCAAGAUUUGGGCUACGUCCACACUGAUUAUAUUGUAUUUCUCUGAGAAGUGAGGGACAGAGUGUGAGAGCUUUGCUCUAGAUAUGAGCGGCUUGAGAGGGGGUGAGAGGGCCUAGGAAUUGGCCUCAGAAAAUGGCCUCCCCUAAUUGUGAGGGUGAGGGGUCCUUUUAUAGAAUAAGGGCUCCUCACUUAUUACAUAUUUGCCCCUUCCUUUAUUACAUAAUUACAUUUGAGUCCCCCGAGUAUUUAUACGAGGUCUAAAUACAGAGACCCUAAAUAUGGUACAAACAGUAGUCCCCCAAGUUUUCAGUCAAGAGAGUCUUUUGGUUGGAGACUUGAAAUUCAGUCCAUGUGUGGGCCAAAGUAACUAGAUGUUGUCUUGAACUGAUGUUCGAUAUGAGGCGGUGCUCAAUCUGAAAUGAUGUUCAACUAGAAAUAGCACAUGCUGUGAGACUGCUUGGCUCGUGGCUUAUGUUGCCUUGGUUGGCUCUGCUUGUGGCGUUUGAUGGUGAGGGAGUCCCUUUUAUAGAAUAAAGGCUCGCUCCUCAAUACAAGAAUGAUGGGCUAGAGUUGAUGCUCGCGGCGAGGCGGUUGCUUAGUAGGCGGCGAUGCUCUCUAAUGAUGGUGAGGGAGUCCCUUUUAUAGAGUAAGGGCUCACUUCUCAAUACAUAAGUGAUGGGUUAUGAGUGAUGCUUGCGGCGAGGCGGUUGCUCAGCUGGCGACGUUGCUCUCUAAUGAAGGUGAGGGAGUCCCUUUUAUAAAAUAAAGGCUUGUUCCUCAAUACAUGAAUAAUGGGCUAGAGUUGAUGCUCUCUAAUAAUGGUGAGGGAGUCUCUUUUAUAAAAUAAGGGCUCACUCCUCAGUACAUGAACAAUGGGUGCUCUCUAAUGAAAGUGAGGGAGUCCAUUUUAUAGAAUAAGGGCUCGCUCUUUAAUACAUAAGUAAUGCGCUAAGUCCCCCAAGUAUUUUUCAUGAGGCUCAAUAUAUGGUACAUAAUGUAAUCCCCCAAGUCUUCGAUCAAUAGAGUCUGUUAGUUGGAGACUUCAAAUUGAAUCCAUGUAUGGGCCGAAGUGGUGGUUGUUCGGAGGCGGUAUUUGUAUACCCUGUACUGAAGCUUUGUAGGUGAAGCUUUGCAAGUGAAGCUUUGAAGCUAGAGCUUUGUAAAUGAAGCUUUUGAAGCUAGAGCUUUUGUAAAUAAAGCUUUUGAAGCUGAUUGACAUGAGUGAUGCUCAUGAAUGUUUGAUUGACAUGAGUGAUGUUCAUGGAUGUUGACAUGAGUGAUGCUCAUGAAUGUUGACAUGAGAGUUGUUCAUGAAUGUUUAUGUAUGAUUGAUAUGAGUAAUGCUUAUGAAUGUUAUGUAUGAUUGACAUAAGUAAUGCUCAUGUAUAAUAUGAAGUAUUGGGCGUACAUUUGAUCACCUGGUUGGUGGCAUGAAGAAGAGUACGGGUUGUACAUUUCAUCACCUGGUUGGUGGCAUGAAUGGCUAGUUGCCAAAUUAGAGUACGGGUUGUACAUCAUGAAUGGCUAGUUGCCAAAUGAUAUUAGAGUACGGGUUAUACAUUUCAUCACCUGGUUGGUGGUAAUAACGGCGGGUUGCCGAAUAAUUUUGGAGUACUGGGCGUACUUUUGAUCACUUGGUUGGUGGUAAUAGCGGUGGGUUACCGAAUAAUUGUGGAGUAUUGGGCGUACUUUUGAUGACCUGGUUGGUGCUAUUUGCUAUUUCGAGCUUAUGUCCCUCCACAACAUGCCAGCCCAUUUGUUUUGGGCUUUGCCGUUUUUAUUUUUUAUUUUUUUUAAUUACCCUCUGAUGGGGUUUAUACAUAUUACCCUCUGAUAGGGUUUAUAUAGAUGUCUCUGAAAGAUAAUAAAAAUAAAUUACAUCAUUCGGGUAGGGUGUUUAUUCCGUGCUUUUGCAGUGUUUUUCUGCUUUCUCUUUUGCUUUCUCUUUUCUUUUCUGCUUUGCUCUUGCUUUUGUUUCUACUUCUCACUGCAUUUCUUUUCUCUAGUAUACAUAUCCUCUGGGCCUUCAGAAAGUGAUUUCACAUGGCUACCACCCUGUAAAGAAGAUGCAGGGGAUGGGUCACUAAGCUCUUUGAAUUAUUGCUUGUCCUGCCUUACAUGGUGAAACUGAGUGGAGCUUUGGUUCGAGCAGAGCACGAAGGCUAAGUGUCGGGGAGGGCUUCGUCCUCAGGAAUCGCAUACUUAGUCCUAGGUGGUGAUGUUGCUCAUGAUAAGACCAAACCAAUCUCCAGUAAAAAGGUCAUAUUUUACUACUGCAGUUUUGAUAAAUCACAAGAUCAUUAAUAGCAUUUAAAGCAACACCGCCGGUAGUGGUAAUCAGAAUAAAAGACACCGCUUUUCGACCAAAAAAAGGACGUGCUUUUCUCUUCCUCCACCGUCUUCGCCGCUGAACUGUGCCAAACCCAUCUUAUUAGCCACAUCACACUCCAUUAGAUUCAACCUGGAAAAGUACGAUGUUGAGGAGCUCCUGUUAAACGACGAUACCAUCUUCCUUGCCAACAUUUUUCUCUGUUCCGUUUGCUUGCUCUGAGUCUGUUCUCAGCCCCGUGAUUAACGUCGUCGGCUCCGGUGUAUUGAAGAUCGCCGAUCCGGUCAUCGAUUGCAUCCGGAAGUUAAUCGCCUAUGGGUAUAUGCGCGGCGAGGCUAACGCAUCCAGGGACGCCACGGAAGCGAAGUGAAGCUUUAAAUUGAUCGAGUCUGUGUGUAGAUGUCGUGAUUGGAGGGACGAUCAGAUGGAGCUGCUAUUUUGCUCUCUCACAUCCAUCUGCUCGCUUGCUUGGCUCUCCAGCUUCGCUAGUAAAAUGCAGAUUUGCAAAUUCACCGACCGUCGGCGUCCACUCAUACGGCGCAGUAUGCGCGUUUCUUGAAGGAGCUGACCUCGUGCGUGUGCUCGUGGAGGGAGCGAAGGGGGUUGGAGGCUGGAUCCGUCAGCGAUAGCAGCAACUAGAAGGGAAUCGUGGGACUCAGAUCAUGCGAUGGUGAUUGGUUGGUGGCGUACGCCGAGGCCCAGAGGGACGGGGGAGAGGUCGAUGACGUGGAGAUGAGCUUGGUGAUUUUGCAGCAAUACUGCCGGAUUUCAGGCCAAAAGCAUGUAUAUAGAUAUAUGCACAGGAAGCAAGACGGAUGACAGUGGGUCUGGGGGAGAGAAACUAGUCCAGGCUUUUUUAACGGCCCGCAUAAGCUGCAUGCACUAAGAGACUAGCCCAGCCCAUUCAAAGUAACUGUAAGCGAGCUCGGGCUCAACAAGGUGCCCAGUGAAUAAAGCCUGGUUCUUGGUCUCGAUCAUCUAUACCCAGCGAACAAGUUUGUUGUUCUGAGAAACCAAACUUGAGAGAGAGGGAAAGAGAGAGAUUUGGAUUUUUUUUCAUUUUGCAGAUUCACGGUAGAGGUGAAAAAUUGAGAGAGAACAGCAUAACUUUUUGUGUCGUUUCCCACAGACAGCGCCAAAUGUUGAUGCACAAAACCGAAAGUCUUGGAACAGCGUAAAUCCGGCUGUGAAUCUACAUGAAAUGUAAAUAACACAAGAUGUAUCGUGGUUCACCCCAAGAUUUGGGCUACGUCCACACUGAUGGUAUUGUAUUUCUCUGAGAAGUGAGGGAGAGAGUGUGAGAGCUUUGCUCUAGAUAGGAGCAGCUUGAAAGGGGGUGAGAGGGCCUAGGAAUUGGCCUCAGAAAAUGGCCUCCCCUAAUUGUGAGGGUGAGGGGUCCUUUUAUAGAAUAAGGACUCCUCACUUAUUACAUAUUUGCCCCUUCCUUUAUCAUAUAAUUACAUUUAAGUCCCUCGAGUAUUUGUAGGAGAUCUAAAUACAAGGCCCUAAAUAUGGUAUAAACACAAACGAUCUUUUUACCACUCAUUUGCGAAUUGUCACUUCAAUGAGACAUUCUUCCCGUUGUUAGGGGGAGAUAAGAACGUCAACGCUCCUGUAAAACGGCGUGAACUUGCAUAGACGUUGCCCACUAUGCCUCAUCUUGAUCCUCAUACCGCACAAGUGUGAUAAGUAAGUGCAAUGUAUUCUAGCUUUCAAAAUGUUGCCAGACGCAUUUCUCUGCUCUAGCUAAAGUGACGAGAUCAUAUACCAACUGUAAACAUGCCUGCAAGGAUAGACGUACUUAAUGGAUGUUGAGUUAACAUCCUCGAAGGAUGUGCCACCUAUAAUGACGAUUUGGUCACCUAUGUUGGGCUGUCUGGUACACCAACGGAUAGCCAAUCAAUCUCACGAGUGGAUUCAAUUCCCUAAAAGAGGAAAGACACAGCACAAAAUGAAUCUAUACUUGGUCGCUAUCUCAAAUCAUUUCCAUCUCAUAAGAUUAAUCCAUAUUACUCCCGAGACUUGAAGUUCUUGGUCCAGAAUACUAGUUUGGAUGAGUUAAUGGAAUUGGAAUGAGAUAUCAUCAAUGAUGUUUUCAUUUAUAUGGUUGCUACCGACAUAAAUGAAAAGCGACGAUAUCAAACUGUGUUAUGUUGGUUAAUGACAACGUAAAACUAAUUGGACAACCGAAAUCACAAUCCAAGUUAAAUUCCUUACCAAAGUAUGUUUGGACCUGUAGUUCCUACACUGCCCAAGGUAAUCCUGUUGUGUUACAUGUGGGAAAGGAAGUGUAAUGAGAUUAAUGAAAUAGUGCGAUGUAAUGCAUGCCUUAUGGUGCAAGGUUUCUCUCAAACGCCCUAUGAUUGAUUGCAGCAUUAUGAAUGUGGUUAGUGUUUCUCCAUAGGGAUAUUGAUACGAAGAUUUACAUGUAUGUUCCCGAAGAAUUACAUGGACUGGUUCAAAUAGUUCCAAACCACGGAACACCAUUUCAACUCAUUUGAGGCGUUCACUUACGGAUUGAAGCAAUCCGACGGAUGUGGUAUACCCGUCUAAGUGAUUAUUUGAUCAGUUAAGGAUAUAAAUUAUGCCUUUGUGUAUUAAACUAUGAAGUCUUAUUCCAAAUUGCUAGAGUUGCAGAUUAUGUCGAUGACAUGCAUCUCACUUAGACUUUAGAAGAGCUUGAGAAAACUGUCUUGCAUCUAAAGACGAAAUUUGAGAUGAAGAAUCUUGGAAAAGCUCGUUUAUACCUUAAACUGAAGUUCAAGCGUUGUUCUGAUAGUACAUUGGUCUACUAGUCAAACUACACCCCGAAGGUAUUACCUUUUGAGUAUACCUAUAAUCUUCUAACGCUAUAUGCAAAUGAGAUCCUUGAAGAGGUUAUGGAAUCCGAAGUUCCAUAUUUGAGUUCAACUUUGCGCUUUGUUGUAUUUAGCUCAUUGCAUUAGAUAAGACAUCUCUUUUGCUGUUGAUCCAUUGGUAAAGAUGCAGCACUGCGCCGACACGCAACCACUGAAUUGGUAUUAAAGAUGUUUUCUGCCACCUUGAAGGUACUAGGGAUUUAGGCAAGUCCCAACGCAACCCGAGCGGAGCCAACCCCCUUGAUCCUCAGAAUGAUGAUUGCCUUGUGUGUUAUGCUAACGAUGGUUACUUAUCAAACCCACACAAGGCACAUCCCCGAAUGGUUAUGUCUUUACCGUUAGGGAUAUCACAAUAUUUUGGAGGUCCACAAUAUGACCUUAGUUGUGAAAUCUUCAAAUCGUUCCAAGACUCACCUUACUUCACUAUGCCACACGUGAAACAUGGUUAGGAAUUCUAGUUGAGCAUAUUCGAAGUACUUGCUGUUUUCGUCCAUCGUUGAGUUCCAACGACGAUCCAUGAAGACUAUGCCGCAUGUAUCAAUCCGACUAAGACAUGAUACAUCAACAAAGUCAAUGCUAAGACAUAUUGCGUCUACAUCAACAAAGCAUCAGGGGAUUGAAAUACUUAAUAUUUUUUUGACCCCCCAUAUUGGUAAAAGAGUAUGUAAACUGAAAAGAACAGCUCAACGACCAUAUAUACUUUUGUACAAAACCAUUUAAGAACUCAAGUUGGCCAAAAAAAAUAUCAUCAGAUAUGUUACCAUUCUUUAAUUGUUUUUUAAUUGUAUAAUUAUUUUUGGUCUCGUUCGCAAAGUAAUUUUCUUUUUCCUUAAGUAUUGAGUUUGAAAUGGUGUUUUCCUCUGAUGGUUAAUUAUCAAUAGUUUACAUGUAAAGCCCCCUUUUUUUUAUAUAAAAAAAGAUUUAAUGAUAAGAACCUAACAAACAAAAUUUUAACGCAAAACACCUAAUGAAUUUUUUCAACUACAUGUUGAAUCACAAUCUUAUACCUUAUGUUUUAAACAUUACAAUGUCAUACCUUAACUUAUAAAUUUGUUACAAUGUCAGACAUUCGUUAAAUUUUCGGUAAAUUUUAUUGUUAAGUGAUGAUGUGUCAGGUGUAGGUUCCACUCCUCAUCCAACUGAAUUUAAAAAUUAAUUAAUAUUAAUAAAUUGAGCUUUUUUAAUCUCAAAAAAAUUAAAAGUUAUUAAAAAACCUCCUCUCUCCUCACGUCACUCUCCCUCUUCUGUCCCUCAUCCGUCAACUCCAUUGGUUUUGGUCUGAAAAAACCAAAAUUUAAGAUUUUUUUUUUUGGUCUGACAAAGUUAAAUAAUUGAAAAAAUAACCUCUUCUUGACUUUCUCCUUGAUUUUGCAGCAACGUUCCCAAAUUCACAAUGAUCUGCAAGUUCAGAUUGGAGGAACAUGUAUACAUUAGAUCUUGGGUAUCUCUUGAUUUUGCAGCCUCUCCCCAUUUCAGCCAUCACCAAUCCAACCUCCCCCCGUUUCAGCCAUUACCAAUCUGUUUCAUUUCUCCAUUGGUUUCGCAGCCGCCCAAUUGGGUGUCUCUUGUUUCUGAUUCCCCGAGAGCUUGUACCUGUGCAACUCGAGAAUCUUGUGUUCGAGCCUGACGACAAUGAUUGAAACUUCGCUGCCUCGCUGGGUUGUGGUGGUGGAUCGGCUCGUCGAAAUCGUACGGCUCCCAGAGGUGGUCCAGCGGGCAUGGGUUCUUGCUGUUGCCGCUCGAGACCAGCUGCCUCCUCCCCUUCUCCAGCAGUCUCAACGUGUACCGCUCCGUGUCCAAUCUAGAUCAGAUCAGCGAGUGGCCCGUCUAGUGCGAGCCAGGUGUCAGAUGCAAUUUGGAUGGAAGACUUGGUCGGAUUUGGGAAGCAAAUGCAACGUUUCGAAGCCGUGGAACUCGCUCGCAUUCCAGAGCUCCCUAGCCGAUCUUUCGAGCCUCGACGGCGGAGUAGACGAGGGAGAGAAGAGGGAGAGAGACGAUAGGAGGGUUUAUUUUAAUAAAUUUUAAUUUUUUCGUUUUAAAAAUCUUAACGUAUUAAUAUAAAAUUAAUAUUUAAUUUCAGUUGGAUGAGAAGUAAACUCUCAUUUGUCACGUCAUCAUUUAACAGAAAAUUUAACGGAAGUCUGACAUUACAAUAAAUUCAUAAAUUAAGGUAUGACAUUAAAUGUUUAAAACAUGAGGUAUGAGAUUAUGGUCCUACCUAUAAUAGAGGUAGUUUUGUAUAAUUUACUCUUUUUUUUUUGUUACGUCACAACUUGCGACCCGUUCCUGUUCAAUUUUCACUUCUAGUUUUACCUUGUUUAUGAUUUCAAAGACUUGGGAAUUGAAAUGAGCUAGAAUCAGAAGUAGAUUGUUAUUGAAGUUGUUUACCAAAAGUGUCUGGAAUUGGAAUUGAAAUGACAUUGAUCUAUAUAAACCGUUUACUAAUCCAUAUGAAUCGGAAUAAAAUCUAAUAUAAUUACUAAAGUGCCCUUGCUUAACUAAUUUAUUUUAUUUGCUAAUUAUUUUUGGUAAAACUUUUACUCUUUCAUUUUUUUUUUAAAGAAUUUUUUUUUAGUAAAACUUUUAGUACAAAUUUAAUAUGAAAGAAUAUUUUUUAUUUGCUUCUACAUAUUUGAGAAGAUUCUUAAUCACCCUAAUUUAUUUCCUCUUCUCUCUCCCCCCUUUCUCCCCAGUCUUUCUCAGCAGUCAAUCUCGCUUGACCAAAACGCUCUCACCCACACCAUCCUCUCCAAUACCUACCACCACCACCGUCUCUCGUCCCUCUUCUCCUCCCCCUUCCUCUUCUCUCUCACCCUCCACUGCCUCAACUCACUCCCCCUCGUCAACAAGACUCUCCUCAUCGCCAACCAUGUUCUCUCUCAUCCUUCUUCCCUGCCAUUCGUGGUUGUUCACCAAAUCCUCGCUAACAAACACCCUGGGGAAUAAGGGUCUACCGUUCACACCAAUCCAAGCAAUCAAUUUCUAACUUGCAUCCACAAAUUGGUCUGCAACAUUCGCAUAAAGAAGGGUCUGCCGUUCCAAGACUCGUUCCGUAAGAACAUGACUCGGCCCAGUGUUCCACCUGGGUUUGCAAUGUGUAAGGGCGGUGUCGUGGUAGUGGUCAAGGUGUAAGGAGUCGGUGGAGGAGAAAGGAAGGAGAGGGUGUGCUACUGGUAGAAGGUGCAAGGGUAUUUUGGGUAGAAAUGUUUGAUUCCAUAAAAAGACUUCCUCCAAGAAUUCAAUUACCACCUCCAUGUAGGUAAUUGAAUUCCGGAAGAUUAAGGAAUUCGAUUCCAAAUUUUAAGUGGGUCCCACUUACUUUUUCAUUCCCUACAUGAUAGUAAACGCGGAAUGCUUCGGGAGGAAUGCGAUUCCGUUUCUUUCCAUUCCAUUCCCGUUUGGUAAACGCGCCCUAAGAGUAAAUAAUUAUGGCAAUCACCAUAGACGAUGGAUGGAAAUAUUUUCCUUGUAGAUAAUGAUUUCAAAUAGGUAUGUGCUAUUUGCACCUUUUUUUUUUAUUUUUAGACACCUUAAUUUGUGAUCGUCGGAUCGAAUGAAUUAAAGAAGAUCAAAAGAUAGAAAUUAACAAGGGACCGCAAGAAGUAAAAAGGGGUGGGUACAUUAUCCACCCAUUUCAAAUUUUAAACGACUGAAAAAUGUUAAGGAGACUUUUUCGACUCUUUAAUUUUAAAAAUAUGUCGUCUCUUUGAAAAUUAUAUUUCAGUUGGACAUGAUUAAAGAAGAAGAAGACCACAAAAUUUAUAUUUCAAGCGGGAGUUUUGGGGUGGGUGUGAUGUUGUUGUUGGGUAGAGGGCAUCAAGUGGAUGAUCUUGGUGGUGGCAAUGGCGGGCGGAUGUUUGGAUGCAGGUGAGGCGAUGUUUGGUUGGAGAUUGCUGGGUUGCCGGGCGCCGUUUGGAUGCAAGUUGUGGUGAUCUUUAUUUCUUCAAAAGCCCCAAAAUAAUGUGAAUGGUGGAAAUUGUGAAAAAAAAAUCCAGAAAAGAGAAAAUCUAGAAGGACACAUAAAAUAAUAAAAAUUUCGAACAAAAAGUUCUAGGGUACCGAGUAAAGAGCUUUACUCCAAGUUGCUGAGAGUAGACCUGGCAGUUUUUGACACGAUACGGUGAUACGACACGAAAAUAAUGGGUUUCGGGUUAACAAGAUAACUUAUCGGUUCACUAUUGGGUGACCCGUUAAGAACCCGUUAAUAACGGGUUCUUAACAGGUAUACACACAGGUAACACGAGGGUAACCCGUUUCGACCCGUUAAGAAAAAAUUAUUUUAAUAAUUUUAAAGUUUAAUUACUAAAAGAUUUAUUAUCAAAUACAAUAGUAAUAUUAAUAUAUACAAUAUAUUCUAUAUUAAAUAUAUAGUUUUGUAUUAUUGUUCUAUAUAAAUUAUAAAAAAAAAAAAGUUUUAUUCAUUAUUUAUUUUUAUUAUGAGAGUUCCUUAUUAUCAUUACUAGGAUAAAUUUUACAUAACAUAUUAUUGUCGAAAAUUAAAAUAUACUAGUAUAGUAUUUGUAUAUGCAAGAACUAAGAAGACAUACAUACAAGUAUGAAAAAUAUGAAAGAAUAUAUAAACACUCGUGAUUUAUCAUUAUUCCUCCACGGACAGAUAAUUGUUACACUUAUAUUAUCGUUUAGAUUUUUAAAAUCCUUCAAACCCUCAUGAAUAAUGUUUUUUAUUUAAGGGAAAAAUUAAUAAAAUUAAUAAUAAUUAUUGUAGAAGUGUAAAAAAUGUAAAAAUAUAUAUAUAUACAAUCACUCAUAUAUAAAAAAAUGUAAAUGCUUUAAAGUAAAGAUCAAAUUUAUUCAUUACAUUCUUAUAGGGUCGAGGAGUGUAUGUACAAAAUCAUCAAAAUCGAAGUUAAAAUAACCGUUAAAUUAUGAUUUUUCGUUUAUAACCGUCGAAAACUUUUGUUCCGUUACGUAAUCUCUGAAUGUUUGUUUUUUACGAUUUUUUACGUUUGCAAUCUCGAAAUGUGUACAAAUAAGUUUGACGGUUGGAUCGUUGAAAAAAAUUUCGUAAAAUGCAUAUUGGGUCAAAACGGUAUAUUAAACAAACACUUAGAGUUAAUAUUAUACUUCUAUUAAGUAUAAAAUAAGUUUUUGUGGUAUCCACUAGUGUAAAUACUUUCAAUUAAAGAUAAAAUUUAUUCAUUACAUUCUUAUAGGGUCGAGGAGUGUAUCUGUAAAAAAUCAUCAAAAUCGGAGCUAAAAUAACCGUUAAAUUGUGAUUUUUCGUUUAUAAUCGUCGAAAACUUUUGUUCCAUUACGUAAUCUCUGAAUGUUUGUUUUUUACGAAAUUUUACGUAUACAAUCUUGGAAUGUGUACAAAUAUGUUUGACGGUUGGAUCGUUGAAAAAAGUUUUGUAGAAUGCAUAUUGCAUCAAAACGAUAGAUUAAACAAACACUUGGAGUUAAUAUUAUACUUUUAUUAAGUAUAAAAUAAGGUUUUGUGGUAUCCACUAGUGUAAAUACUUUCAAUUAAAGAUCAAAUUUAUUCAUUAAAUUCUUAUACGGUCGAGGAGUGUAUCUGUAAAAAAAUCAUCAAAAUCGGAGUUAAAAUAACCGUUAAAUUGUGAUUUUUCGUUUAUAAUCAUUGAAAACUUUUGUUCCGUUACGUAAUCUCUGAAUGUUUAUUUUUUACGAUUUUUUACGUAUGCAAUCUCGAAAUUUGUACAAAUAAGUUUGAUGGUUGGAUCGUUAAAAAAAGUUUCGUCGAAUGCAUUUUGCGUCAAAAUAGUAGAUUAAACAAACACUUAAAGUGAAUAUUAUACUUCAAUUAAGUAUAAAAAAAGUUUUUGUGGUAUCCACUAGUGUAAAUACUUUAAAUUAAAUAUCAAAUUUAUUCAUUACAUUCUUAUAGGGUCGAGGAGUGUAUCUGUAAAAAAUCAUCAAAAUCGGAGCUCAAAAUAACCGUUAAUUGUGAUUUAUUCGUUAUAAAAACCGUCGAAAACUUUUGUUCCGUUACGUAAUAUCUGAAUGUUUGUUUUUUAUGAUUUUUUACGUAUGCAAUCUCGGAAUGUGUACAAAUAAGUUUGACGGUUCGAUUGUUGAAAAACGUUUUGUAGAAUGCAUAUUGUGUCAAAACAGUAGAUUAAACAAACACGUUAAUAUUAUACUUCUAUUAAGUAUAAAAUCAGUUUUUGUGGUAUCCACUAGUGUAAAUACUUUAAAUUAAAGAUCAAAUUUAUUCAUUACAUUCUUAUAGGUCGAGGAGUCUAUCUGUAAAAAAAUCAUCAAAAUCGGAGAUAAAACAACCGUUAAAUUGUGAUUUUUCGUUUAUAACCGUCGAAAACUUUUGUUCCACUACGUAAUCUCUGAAUGUUUGAUUUUUACAAUUUUUUACGUAUACGAUCUCGGAAUGUGUACAAAUAAGUUUGACGGUUGGAACGUUGAAAAAAGUUUCAUAGAAUGCAUAUUGCGUCAAAACGGUAGAUUAAACAAACACUUAGAGUUAAUAUUAUACUUCUAUUAAGUAUAAAAUAAGUUUUUGUGGUAUCUACUAGUGUAAAUACUUUAAAUUAAAGAUCAAAUUUAUUCAUUACAUUCUUAUAGGGUCAAGGAGUGUAUCUGUAAAAAAUCAUCAAAAUCGGAGCUAAAAUAACCGUUAAAUUGUGAUUUUUCGUUUAUAACCGUCGAUAACUUUUGUUCCGUUACGUAAUCUCUGAAUGUUUGUUUUUUACGAUUUUUUACGUAUGCAAUCUUGGAAUGUGUACAAAUAAGUUUGACGGUUGUAUCAUUGAAAAAAGUCUUUGGACCGCCAGCAAUAGAUAAUUUUGUAGUAGUGAAACCUUAAAUUUAUUUAACUGUCGAUUGUCAUUUACGCUUUAUUCUUCUUACUGAAUUUCAUUUUUAAAAUUUUAUUUUUUGAAAACAUGAUCAUCUGGCGGAUGUAAGAAAAUGAUAUCACGUUUCGAUAUUUACGGUUAACUGAAAUAUUAGUCAAUGUCAUAUAAUUUGUAGAAACUUUAUAAACAUCAAGUAAUAUUUUCACUAACCGUAAAACUCUAAAAAAUAAUAAUAUCAACGAUCCAAACCGUUCAUUCUACCUGCACCCUCUAAUAGAUCAUGUUUUUUCAAAAAAGAAAAUCUAAAAAAACGAAAUUUGAUGAGAACAAUGAAGCAUAAAUGUAAACAACAAUCAACGGUUAAAUUUUGAUCUAUGAUUUAUAUGAUUAUAAUGGCGAAUUUCGAAGUUAAGCUCUUCAUGAAAGUUAUAAAGCUUGUCAUUACGAGUAUUUAUAUAUAUUUUUCUAAGAACACGGAAAACAUGACACGAAUGCCAGGUCUAGCUGAGAAUCGCAAAGAGCUUUACUCCAAGUAAAUAUAAUACUUGGUACUAACUGUUCAGUACCUAAAAUUUACUGACUCCAAUAAAUCAUACAUACCUGUUCAUUUUCAAGUAUCAAAUCACACAACCAAAUACCCAAGAAAUUUUUAGUUGUGACAGGAACACGGGUGGUACACUACGUGUUCUUAUGUAAGUGGUGAAAAUUUUUAUUUUUUAAGUUAUUAACUUUUUAAUACACAUAUCCCACCAUUUAUAUAGCGACACAUGGUGUAUCACCCCGUAUAACAAUCACACUGAAAAAUCCCUCCAAACACCCCUAGUUCUACAAACCAAACAUCCUUCUUCUCCCUCUCUCUGCCCACAGUUUGCUCCAGACCAGCAAAAACAUUGCAAAUCUUUCACAAAAACUAUUACCCAUCUAACUGAACCUAUACGAUUUAACUUUAUAAAAAGGAUUAUGGGUGUGCUCUCCACACACCCCCUUUUUACUUCUCACACACCCUUAUUAAUUUCUGUCAGUUGAUCUUCUUCAAUUCAUCUGAUCUGACGGUGGAAAAUCAAAAAGGUGUAAGAGAAGUAAAAAUGGGUGUGUGGAUAUCACACCCCAAAGGAUUAAUCUCAGUUAACUACCUUGAAGUUUAUUGGUUUUCAACAUUUAAGACAUCAAGUUUUUUUCGUCAAGUCUAGUACCUAAAGUCAUAAUUUUGAGACACUUUCAUACAUCCGUUAGUUUUUUCGUCAAAACCUCUGUUAAGUGAUGACUUAGCGUCCACAUGGACAAUGAUUGGAUGCCACAUGUCAAUACGAACAUUUUUGGAUUUAAUUUUUAAAAAUAAUAAAAAAAUAAUUUUUUUUCCUUCCUCUGUUUUCGUCUCUAUCUAUCUCCCUAUUCCGAGAGAACUUAGCAACCACCAACCUUUCCCCACCGACCCAACCCCGUGAGCCGCCGGAAAUGGGUCUCAAUCAGAGACCGAGAGAGAAAAAUGAGAGCCCACACCGAUCCCCAUUUUCUAUGAGCAACGUCAAAACAGUAAAAUCCCUAUUUUCUUUUUGGCCCGUGAUUUUCUCAGCAACCAAACAAAAAUGAGGAAGAUAGGGAAAAUGAAGAAACUAACCUUUGGAAGAAAAUUCAUGUUAAGAGAGAAUUUUGGAACUGGAUUAAAGGUCAAUGAAGGGAUUCAAAUUCUUAGCCCAUGGAGAAAUUAACCAUGCCAAAGAUUCAAGAGAAUUCAAAUUCAAAUUACAAAAAUUAUUUCUGAAUCUAAACCCAAAACCCACCUGAAAUUCACCAAGAAUAGAAGAAAUAAAAAAUUGGGCUAGCUGUGCAUUAAUGGAGAAAGAGAAAAUGGGAAGAAAACCAUGGAAUUGAAAAUUCUAGAAGAAAAAAAUGAUAAAAUUUAAGAAAUGAGCAUUAACCAUGGUGACCUAGAUCUAGAAAACUGGUUGUUUAGCAAAAAAUUGGAAAUGAUUUUACCUUUCGGUGAUUGAGCUUUGUGUCUCCUCUCCUCUUUUGCUUUCUCUCCCUACUGGGUUUUGGCGUUUUGAAGAAAUUGCGAUGGGAAAGAAACAAAGAAAGAAAACAAGACAAGCAAGCUUUCCCUUCCCACAAGUUUUCUCUCUCGGUCUCUGAUCGGAACCCAUUUCCCAUGGCUCACGGGAUUAGGUCGGUGGGGAAAGGUUAAUGAUUGCUGGGUUUUCUCUCAGAAGAGAAGGGAAGAGGGGAGAGAGAUAGAAGACAAAGGGAGAGGAAGGAUUUUUUUUUUAUUUUUUUUAAUAUUCAAUUGACACGUGGCGUCCAGUCAUUAUUCAUGUGGGCGUCACAUCAUCACUUAACAGAUGUACUGACAGAAAACAGAAAACUUAACAGAUGUAUGAAAGUGUUCCAAAAUUAUGACUUUAGGCAUCGGACUAGGACGAAAAAAAACUUGAUGUAUGAAAUGUUAAAAAUGAAUAAACUUCAGUAGUAUACUGAAAUUAACCCAUAUAAAAAAGACGUUCAUGCCUUCCUUGAGGUUCUUCUUGACCCACUGAUUGUAACCACUACAGAGAUCCAUAUUAAAAUUACUUGUACAUAUAAAUUCAUGAUCGUUAGUCAAUCAUAUGCAGUGAAUUUUUUUUUACUUGAUAUCAAGAACUAUCUUAUAAUAAAUCAUCUAUUUAUUAGCUGCAUAUAAGUGAGUAAUUGAUAUUUGAUUUAACUGAUUUUUCGUGAGCAUGAUUUUAAAUUGAUGAUUAGUAAAUUAGCGGUUUUAGUUAUGAAAUUUGCGCAUCAAAAUAUGAUUACUGCAAAAGGAUAAUGCUAGAAUGAUCAAAAUUUUAAACCAAAUUUCACUGUUCUAAAAAUUCUUGCCUAGAGCCUCUAGGCAUUGUUUAGACGCUAGGCGGCUGACCACUGUCCUGAUUAGUCCCUAGGCAUUUGAAAAACUAAGAAAGUGCAUCUAGACCUGCUUAAGUGUACGCCUAGCCCACCUAAGCGCCCACCUAGCCCGCCUAAACUCGUCUAGACACUCGCUUAGGUCGCGACUCUAACUUAGACAUAAAAUCAAUAACAUUUAUUUUGCUUUUUAUUUUUUCAAUAAAAUGUAAGAUACUUGUAGCUUGGAUGAACACUCAUCACAUGCUUAUUCUUCAUGUUUUCAAUAUAUUAUAAUACUUUAUAAUUUAUAUGUCAUUUUAUUUUGUAAUUAAUGUAUCUCAAUAUAAUCAUGUGUGUUUUUUAAGUAUAAAUAAGCACUUAUUUAACAUAUAAAAAAUUUACUUAAAUCCGUCUAGGCCUCCGCCUAAGUCCCGCCUAGCCAUUAGGCCUCAGCUUGUCGCCUAACUAGCGUCUAGUAUCUUUUAGAACUUUACCAAAUUUGCAAACCAAAUUACAUGCCACUAAUAUGAAAUAAGCACGUUAAUCUACACUUAAUUAAUAAUCCAAUCAUCAAUAACCACAUCGUUUGAUUUACAAAAUUGAUGUAAAAAUUUAAUCUCUCUAACAUUAUUCAUUAAAAAAUAUUCUGGAUUUUCUCAUCCACAAUUAAUAUGUUUGAAAUUAGCUGGCCGACCUUUCCAAAUGAAAGUUUACAGGAUUGUCUCAUCCACAAUUAUUAUGUUUGAAACUAGCUGGUUGACCUUCCACAUUAUAGCUCUAUAAAAUCAAGCACCAGCUAGCAUUCAUAAUACUCAAAGAAACAAAUUGAGAACUCCCAAAGAGCGCAAUAUAUAUCAAUAUGGCACUUUGGGUUUGGUUAACAAUUGGGGUGCUUGCCCUUGUUCGCAUCGUGCAAGCAUGCAUAUCAAAAGGCAAGAACAAAAACAAGAUGUUACCUCCUGGUCCGAGAGGGUUUCCUAUUUUUGGCAGCCUCCAUUUGUUAGGGAAGUUCCCUACCAUGGAUCUUCAUCAACUAGCCCAGAAAUACGGUGACAUCAUGUACUUGAGGUUAGGCCUCCAGCAUACCGUGGUCGUCUCGUCCACACGAGCGGCCGAGCUGUUCCUCAAAACCCACGACCUUAACUUUGCAAGUAGACCACCUAAUGAAGGUGCAAAGCACCUCAUCUUUGGGCAAAGAAGCUUGAGCUUUGCUGAGUAUGGCUCGUAUUGGACCAACAUGCGAAAGAUUUGCAUGCUCGAAUUACUUAGCAACCAAAAGAUCAACUCUUUCAAGUCCAUGAGGAGAGAAGAGGUUGCUCUCUUGAUAAAAUCUGUUCAAGACGACGCCAAUAGUCGACGCAUUGCUAAUGUGACUGACAAGGUCUCGUCGCUCGGGAUCAACAUGACCUGCCGGAUGGUGUUUGGGAAGAAGUACAAGGACGAGGAGUUUGGCGGGAGGGGUUUCGCGUCUGUGAUGAAAGAGGGUAUGAAACUAGCAGCAGCACCUAACUUGGGAGAUUUCAUUCCUUGUAUUGCACCGCUUGACCUGCAAGGGCUCACUAAAAAAAUGAAGGCUGUUAACAAGGCGUUUGAUGAAUUUUUUGAGAAGGUUAUUGACGAGCAUCUUCAAUACAAGGAUAAAGAAAGAACAAAGGACUUCAUCGAUGCCAUGCUGGCCCACAUGGGGUCUGAAGGAUCCGACUACCGAAUCGAACGCUUGAAUAUCAAAGCCAUGAUGUCGGUGAGUGUACAUAUCAUCAUUUUACAUAUUUGUCUUUUCAUUCUUGCUUGACUUCAAGUUCAAACGAAAUCGUUUCUGGUUAGACAAUUUAACAUGAUGUGGUCAAAGAUUGUUAUUUUGAACCAUUAGGUCGACUUUUUUUUUAAUAUACUAGAUUGACAGUUGACGAUAUAAAUUUGUGAUUUAAUAUGGACAUUAAAUUAUCAUUUAUGUACAUGUGUCGCGUUAUUAUAUGUACUUCAUCUAGCAAUGAAAAAUUUAUUGGCAGGACAUGUUCGCGGCUUCAGCGGACACAUCAUCAACAACAGUCCAGUGGGCGCUCUCGGAACUCUUGAGGCAUCCACAGGUUAUGAAGAAAGUCCAAAAGGAGUUAGAAAAUGUUGUAGGCCUCAAAAGAAUGGUGGAGGAAUCAGACAUGGAGAAAUUAGAGUAUUUGGACAUGGUAGUGAAGGAAACCAUGAGGCUACAUCCUGUGGUACCAUUGUUGCUUCCUCAUGCAGCCAUCGAAGAUUGCACUGUCGAUGGCUACCACAUACCGAAGAAGUCACGCGUUAUUGUAAAUGCGUGGGCAAUCGGGAGAGACCCGAGUGCUUGGGAAGAUGCAGAGAAGUUCGUACCAGAGAGGUUUGAGGGUAACAAUGUUGAUGUUAGAGGACACCACUUUCAGCUUGUACCGUUUGGCUCUGGCAGAAGACGUUGUGUUGGAAUGCAGUUAGGGAUUACUGUGGUACACUUUGUGUUGGCACAGCUUGUGCAUUGUUUUGAUUGGGAACUUCCAGAUAACAUGCUGCCAAAUGAGUUGGAUAUGACUGAGGAGUUUGGUCUAGUAGUUUCAAGGGCCAAGAAUCUGCUCGCUAUUCCCUCAUAUCGCCUUCAGAAUUGAUCAUGGAUGUUGUGGACUAGCUAUCUUUUCUGUUUUUUUUUUUUUUUUUUUCCUUUUUACUGUUUACAUUUGUUUUCUUCACUUGAUGAGGAGAACAAGCACUGGUAUAAAUUAAAUAAGUUUGUGUCAAAUUUUCAAUAAUGAAAAGUCGUGUAUUAAUGUGAAAUCCCGUCUCUAGAAUUUCAUUAUAUAAUUAUGUAUUUCAUUAUUUAAAUUCAUAUUUUGUAAUUAUGUGAUUUUUAUUUUAAAUCAAAUUUCGUUGAUUUUAGAGUUUUAUUUACUUAGUUACAAAGUUCGAAUUUUCAUAAGCAAUCAUUUAAAAAUCGUCAUUUAGUGUUCUCAAAUAGAGCUCAAUCCCACGAGGACGCAAGUGAAAGCCAUUCGAGAAUCAGAGCGAUAACGAAGAAGUUACAGACGUCGAAAGUUCAAUAUAAAUAAUAUAGAAACCCUAUUAUAAUAUAAUAUGUAGAUGGGUACAUGAAUAGUUCUUUACUAUUCAUCUGCAGAAAAAUCACAUGGAUUACUAUUUUUGCAAAGCAAUUUCCCUAUUCCUUAGAAGAAGCUUGUGUAAAGUAAAUGGUGUUGCUACAUUAUUUUAUUCGAUGAAAACCUCUAUGUAAGGAGGUUCAUUCGUUCAUUGCAAACAAAUGACUCCUAAUAUCAAAGAAGAAAGAAAGAGAGAGAAAGAAAAGAAGAGAGAUGUGGAGAAAUUACUAGUGAGCUGGGCUAGAGAGAAGAGAGAAAAUAGGGAGAGUUAUCAUUGUACUCCUAUUAUUUCAAAUAAUGAAAGAAAGAAUUACUGCUGCUCCUUGGAGGACGUAGGCAUACUUGCCGAAACUCAUAAACAUUGUGUCUUAUUAUUUUAUUCUGCCGCACAUAUCUUCAAUUUCACAACACAAGAAGCUCUCGUGUCAGUGAAAACACACAAAGCCAUAAACCCAGUGAAGCACUGUUUACCUCUAUCAGUUGAAACCUCACAGAUAAGAAAUUCUCUCAUUUUAUCCUCAUACUAAUCUUCUUAAACUAAGUAUAUAUCUUGUUAUAUAACUGUAUAUCAUUCUUUGCAGAAACAAAAAAGGUACAUACUUGAAAUUCGCUAAAAAAAAACAGUUGUGUUACGAACUUUGAAACUCCGAUUUCCUGUGCUCAAACAGAAAUUUUCCUUCCUAGAUCUUGUUCCUUAUCCUUUUUCCUAUAACACAUCAAAAUCUCAUAAAGAUCCAAUGGUUAAUUCAUUCCAGAUCUUAGAAAUACUAUUAUAGACCUGAAAUCUGCAAAAAAAUUGGCAGCUAGGUUAAUGGCAUUUAAACUCGAACUUCCCAAACUCGGAUUGAAACGUUUUCUUUAUUGGAGUUGUUCAUUACCCUCUUGUUGAUACUAUGCUAAAAUUUGGGUCAGAUCCAAUGGUUUGACAUAUGAUUUCAUUUUGUAGACAAUAAUCAAGUGAGACAGGCUUAACUGGUUCCCUUGUGUGAUUUUGAAACUCUAUGUUCUUGCCCAUAAUUGCCUUGUGUGAUUUUAGAGCUUAAAAGAAGGAUGGACUACGAACGGCUUGAUCCCGUUUGAGAGUACGUAGAUGGUCUAACAUACAGGUUAGAUGCAGCCUUGUGUACAGAAAAAGUUUUACACUAUUGACACAUUUUUCAUGUUUUGGUCAUGUCUCGGAGGCGAGGCAUGAAGGAUGAAAAAGUAUGUGGUGACUUCAUGUGUCGAUCCUAAACGUAGAUCAGGAUUAGGGUGUGACAAUGUAACAACCUUAACAACAUACUACACGAGCUCUUAUAAAAGGAAGUUGAUUUUUAACAUACCUUUUAACAUUUACACCCUUCUCUAUUUUUCGAUCAUCGAAUUGAAUAAAUCAAACAAAAACAAUGAACCUGAUGAAAUAAGAGUGAAUAGAAUAGAAAAAGGGCUCCUUACAAAAAACCAAAGAUGUGCCAUUACUAUUCCAAUUCACUUUAAUCACUUGUCCUGUAUAGAAAAAAAAGGUAAUCCUAGGUAAACAAAAAUUUUAGGUUAAAUUUGCAAAUCAAAUAAUGUGUCACCAAUAGGAAAUAAGCACGUUAAUCAAUACUUAACUAGUAAUCCAACCAUCAACAACCACAUCACUUAGUUUACAAAAUUUGGUUAAUCUGGUCUACCUAACAUUAUCCAUACAAAAAACCACGCAAUUGUUGAAUUAAGGUGCAGUUAGAUCCAUGUCCAAAAAUCCAAGUUGCUUUUUUAAAUUGAGUCUAAUUGUAACUAACUAUAUCAUAAGAAGGUUAAACAAACUUCCAAUCGAAACACAGUUAAGAUAGAAUUGAAUACAACUAAUUAUGAAGAGGCAGAUUACAAGAAAAAUAUAUCUAUAAUAUAGGUUAGUUAAAAACGAUUUAUCUGCGAUAUAGGCAGAUUAUCGACAAAAAUAAUCUAUAAUAGACGUAUUUUAAAUAAGUAAAGAGAUUGAUAAGUAAAAAGAUUGAAUGCAACAUGAUUGAAGGGAUUUAAUUCUAAUGAUUUAAGAUAUACAAUUCUAUAAAUUUUUUAAUUUUAUCACAAACUUAACAAAAAGAUAAUAGUCACUAGACCUAUUUUUCAAAAGGGAUCUUUUGAUAUAGGCACCUCAAUUUUGAAUUUUCUAGAUCAAACAUUAUAUUGUAAUAAUUUUGGUGCUAUAUGCACAUUAUAUUGUAACAAAUUUCCUAUAAUCUAGCCUUUUGAUUACACUCUCAUCUAUUAGAGAUAAUUGUUAAAAAAAAAAGUUGGUUGUCACAGCCCGUCGCGUGAUUCUUUUUAUCGAGGUUGUGAAAUGACGAAAUUAUCCUUGACGGGUGCUAAGGUAGGUGUGUGACAUAUUAUUGAACAAUGCAUUUUCCCUAAGUUUUGGAAAGUUUGAAUUUUGAUUAAAGGUUGUAUGUGUUUUGUGUGGUUAGGGAAAGAAGUUGGACUUGUUUUGGGAUGGACCACACACACACACGGGAUAACCUCACCCCGUGCUCUCUCUCUCUCUCAUCCUUCUCUGUCACUCUCUCUCUCCCCCUCUCGAAAUUGUACGGACCGACCCAAAAACCCUUGAAACUUCAUGGAUCGAAGUGGAGAUUAGCACCAUUGUGUUCGUGAGUGCCCUAUGAACUCAAAGGUACCAUUUUCAGGUAAGAAACCCUUCAUUUUCACGUUGAAAACUCAAGGUCCGAAUUGAGUACUAUUCAUGAACUUUGUAAUGGUUGGUUAGGACAAUCCAAGCUCAUAGUGAGCUCUAGAAAGUUCCCACGAAGCUCGAGGACGUUCGUUUGGAAGUUUUGGACGUCGGGACACCCUAGUUCGAAGGUGGCCGGUUUUGGUGAAGUUUCCUGACAUGAUUUUCGAAGGUUUUGAGGCUCCAAAGAGGUAUAGCCUUAUUCCCCUCGUGAUUUAGGACAUUUUGGUGAAAAUUUCAUGGAAAAUGGUUAAAAAUCGAGCGAGAAAAGGGCGAUUGCAGGUUUACCCAGUUUCCGACGCUAGCGAGUUUUUUCGGCGACUGGAGGUAGGGGAUGAUGUGCGUGGGGGCGCGUGGACCCGUGCCUGUCCCAGCGCAUGGGGGCGCGUGACAAGCCCAAAAAUUAUUUUAAAAAUAUGUCGAUGUCUGUGACGUCGAGUAGGUCACUUUGGUAUAUUCAUACACCCAAAUUGAGCACCGUAUGAGAAGUUAUUACGAAUUAUCGGUUAUGUGCUUUAAUUAACGUUUUUAUAGUUGUUUUGCAUAUAGGUGAUACCUAUCCCGAGGACGAGCGCAUCCAGGGACGUCACGGGGGUUACGACCCUUCAACUUACCAGUGAGUGGGCAGUAUUUUCUGUAUUUACCUAUAUACUAUUGAUUUUUCCCAAAAAUUGAAUUUAAAUGAAAGUAUGUUUUUAAAAGGCCAUGCAUGCAUAUUGUGAAUUAUAUGAAUUAGUAAUUGAUGCAUAUAUAUGUGAAAUGGUGUUGUGGACGCACAGGUGAGUAUCAGGUGAUUUUAUGUUAUUCAUGUGAAUCAUUGAUGAUGUGAAUUGUGUUGAGAGCUCAUAACCUGCACCCCUGGUGUUAGUGCUUAUAUUAUUCACCCGCACCGCACACUCACCUUGGAUCCAAGUAGGUGUACGUCGUAAAGACCAUGAGAGGGUUCCGACAUGCUAGUCGUACAGAUCACUAGAGGUGGUUCCGACUGGCAGGUGACCUUAGAUUAUGUGCACAGAUGAUUGAUGAGAGAGGCACUACAGCGUAUUAUUACACCAUUAUUGUCGUACAGACUACUUCAGGUAGUUUCGACUUAUGUGCAGAGUAGUGCCGUACAGGUCACCGUGGUGACUCUGGUUGGUUUGGAUAUUGAGCUAUGGAAUUAACCGUACCGGACCAACUGCAGGGUCUCCGGUGGAUUCAUUAUGUCACAUGUUAUAUUGAUGCAUUCUUAAUCUGUUAUUGACAUUUAUGGCAUGGCAUAUUUUCUGGGUUUUGAUAAAGAAUUGUGAUUUGAGAUAUACGAAGAUUAUAUGCAUAUUAUGUUAUUUUCUGGGAAAGUAUACAUGUUUUACAGCGAGGGAUUAGAAAUGUUUUAAAUGAAAUGUUUUUGAGAACUUUGGUUUUACUGACCCACUCAAUUUUGUUUUGCUCCACUCCAGGUUCUAGUUAGCAGCGUUGGUGGCCCACGAGGAUUCCUACGGCGUACUGACAGACUACAUAAAUGUAGGACUCACCUGCGAGUGUUGUAAUUUAGUUUUGGUCCUACUUGACUGCACCUAGUACUUGUGCUCUAAAUUUGUGUGUUUCACACUUAAACUUACUCUAGCACGUUACUUGGUUAUUAUUGCUAGUAUUUGGUUUUUGUUAUUCGUAUUUCUCUUAUCUUUUGCUUCCGCCUCGCACUUUUGGUUACGUCAUGCCCACGUGACGGCCAGCACGCCUUGAUUCUAGGAUCGGGGUGUGUCAUUGGUUAGAUUCAAUUUAUUUUUCACAAUAAUGCUACAAUUUAGCAAUAAUUAUCUACGAUUUAAGAUAUUUUCUUUCCAAAAUAAUUUAAAAUAUUUUAAAUCCCCCAAAAUCAAACGAACCGAAAUAAGUUUUUCUUUUAGUAUGUUAAGAGAAAAUAGGAUUUAGAAUAAUAUAAACGUACCAAUACACAAUGUGUACAAAUAUUAACAAUAUGUAUCAAAUCAAACGUACCAAAAUUGUAAAUAAACGUACCAAUUAAUAAUUUUUAUAAAUUCAAACGUACCCACAAAUAAUAUAUACGUAAUGUAUUGUACCCAAUAAUAAUUUGUCAACAACUAUACUUAAAAAAACAGCAAAAAAAAUUACACGGAGCUUUUAUGUUGAUCACCAACUAUUUGAAAAAGAAAAAACCAUUUCGAAAAAAGAAAUAAUAUUAAAUGUUUGCAGAACCAAAAAAAAAAAAAAAAAAAAAAAAAAAACUAUGAUCGAAAAAACAUAUUUGAAAGAAGAGAAAAUAUAGUUUAAGGGGUGUGCUAUUCACACACCUCAUUUUACUUCUCACACACCCCUUAAUAAUUUAUGUCCGUUGAUCUUCUUCAAUUCAUCCGAUCCGACGGUCGAAAAUUAAAAAGGUGUGUGAGAAGUAAAAUGGGAUGUGUGGAUAUCACAUACCUAGUUUAAUUACUAAUAUCUUCACUAAAUAAGGAAAAGUGCAUCAUGUAGAUAAAAUGAUGAAUUCAAAAAUUAUUUUAAUUUUAAAAAAUAAAGGUGAAUAUUAGUCAAAGCAUUUUAAUCAAAUUUUAAAAAGACAUAGAUGUUUAAUCUAAAUGAUAUAGAAAAACUAUAGAAGAUUCUAAGAACCUGUUUGGUACUCUAAUUGAAUCCAACUUUUUAAACUCAAAAAUAAUUUUCAAGCUUUAGGCCUUAAAAACUUGUUUGGUAGGACUAUUUUAAAAAACUGAACUCAAGACUAACUAAAAAAUAUAAUAUAUUCUUUAAAAACAUAAAAAGUAAGUUUUUAGAUUUUUUAAACUUAAAUUCACUCAUUUCUUUUCUCUCCCUCCUCCCUUCUCACUCCAAAUCUCUCUCUCUCUCUCUCUCUCUCUCUCUUUUCUUCUUUCUCUCUCCCCCUUGUCUUUGUUUUUUACAUUUUUCGUCUUUCUUCCAAUCCGCUCUCUUCAUUCUCUCAGUUCUAUCUCUCACUCCCCUUCCUCUCUAUCUCCUCUGAUCUUCUGUCUUCUUUCUCUUUCCUCCAAUCAUGUCUUACUUUCUUUCCUCCUCUUUCCUCUUUCUCCCUCUCCUGCGACCCUCUCGUUUUAGAUCUCUUUGUCUAGUUUAAGUUGUAAGAUUUAAAAAUUUUAAAUCGCAAACCAAUCAAGUUUUUGAGUCUUAAAGAAAAUUAUUUUCAAGAAAUGUUCUUAACAAAUGUUUUGUACAAUGAUAAAAAUUUUCAAAUAGGAGACCAAACAAACCCUAAUUUUUCCUUUUCAAAAAUAGACUAUUCUUAAUAAUAGCUCACAAAAUUAAAUUUGUCCCCAAAUUUGAUAUGGCAUUCAUGUCUCAGACAAUGACAGGUAAUGUGUGAUUUCAAAAUUCACAUACUACGUGUUUUUGUGGUUGUUGGAAUUUUAAAAGUAUACUGAAAAUGAUUGAAGCACCAUUCCAACUGUCACUACAAAGUGAAGGCGAUCAACAGAAGAAAUCUAAAUUUUCUUUUUAGUCAAUCACGUGUUUUUGUGGUCGUUGGAAUUUUAAAAGUAUACUGAAAAUGAUUGAAGCACCAUUCCGACUGUCACUACAAAGUGAGGGCGAUCAACAGAAGAAAUCUAAAUUUUUCUUUUUAGCCAACUAACCUUACAGUGACUUUUCUACCAUUGUCUUUCUACUUUCUCAACCAAUAAAUAACAAGGCGUCAUGGCAUGCAACAUGAAUUUUUUUUAAUGAAAUGGUCGCAGAGCGGCCUUAUAUUUUUUAUGUCUAAGAAAAAUUGGGCCGGCCGAGCUGACUAUAUGCCGAAUUUGUAAGGCCAUGACUCAACCCACUAGUCGCAAAAAAUUCGGGCCAAUGAGUGAGUUGCUCUGCUCGGUUCAAAUUUUAGCUCUUUAAUUAUUUUCAUUUAAAUGUAAAAAUAGUCAAGUUGUUGAUAAUUAAAUAUAAGACUUUUUGUACUUAAAAAAAAUAUAAGACUUUUUAAUUUUAUUAGUUCUCAUUUACCAUUCCAAAUAAGAUAUUUGUUUGGUUAAUAUAGUCAUUAAAUAAGUAUUGAAAAACAAAUAUUUCAGAUCACGAACUUUUUAUCCCAUCAAAACAACAAAACUUAAAAAACAAAAGGCGUGUACAAAUAACACCAAAUAAGCUUUUGGUCUUUGGAGUAAUAAUUUAAUGGGGUCUAAUAGUGUAUUGGAUGCGUUCAUUUGCCAAAAUGAGAAACAAUUUCAGGUAAAGAACUUUUCACCUCAUAAUUACAACACUCCAAAAACAAAAAACAUGUACAAAUGACACAAAAUAAAACUUUGGCUUUUUGAGUACUCAUUUUUUAUGGGUCUAAUGCGUAUUGGAUGUUUUCAGUUGCCAAACACUCAAAAAACAAAACACGUGUACAACUGACUCCAAAUAAGCUUUUGGCCAUUUGAUUACUCAUUUUAAGGGUCUAAUAGCAUAUUGGAUUGUUCAUUUUCCAAAAUGAGAAACAAUUUCGAAUCCCAUACUUUUGAAACAAUCAAUCCAACAUCACUUCAAAAACUAAAAAACGUCUACAAAUGACACCAAAAUAAGCUUCUAGCCUUAUGUGUACUUAAAUUACACCAAAUCAUAUCGGGUCGAGCCUAAGAAUAGAACCUAAAAUGCAAGGCCUAAGCCCUACCCCAUUUAUAAUCAGGCAGGCUAAAGCACGACCCUAAGACUGGGUUGAAAAAUUAGGGCUGGGCUAGCCUAUCAAGCCUCAUUCCUUUUUAUUAGUCUAUCUGAUACAGUCUUGGGUGUAUUCAAUUAUGAUUUUGAAGGAUUUUAAAACAGUUUACAAAUUCAGACAAUUUUAAAUGAAUUCAUGAAAGUUUAGGGGGUAUGCAAUCAAGAUUUUUAAAAGAGUAUAUAAACUCAAGGUAUAUUCAAUCAAAAAUUAAAUUUAAAGGAUUUUAAAAAUUAAACUAUUUUGAUAGAAUUAGAGGAAUUAAAAAAGAUUUUAGGCUUUAGUAAAUCAUGCAUGUCUCCUAAAAUUUUUAAUGAAUUUAUCUCAGGUUCACAUAGAGUCUAUUAAACUCUGUUAAACUUAAAGAAUUUGUAACUCUUUUUAAAUCCUUCAAAUUCUAAAUUGAAUACACUCAAGUUAGUAAGAUUAAUACCACUUGCUUUUGGAAAAAAAAAAAAAAAAAAAAAAAAAACUACUUGCCAAGCAAAAAUCUAGUCAUCAACUGUCGCAUCAUGUAGCUUUCAAAUAUGGUCUAAAAAAUGAUCUCCCUACCAUUUUUCUUUACAAAAUGCUCUUAAUUAUUUAACAGAGUAAAGCUUAAUGUGGAUUGGUGUCACAAGGGAAUGGUUAAUACCAUUGGUGCUAGUCGUUGUUGAAUAUUUUAAGAAUAUAUAUAUAUAUAUAUAUAUAUAUAUAUAUAUAUAUAUAUAUAUAUAUAUAUAUAUAUAUAUAUAUAUACAGCUGUUUGACUGACAGGGAAUGGGAUUGGGUUAUUGAUCCAAAAAACACAUCUCUUCAAUUUGAACAUGCAUCUUUUGAUUGUUGCCAAAAAGACAUGUUUCAUGAUCCUUCAGGUAAGAGGUGUUUUGUAUCAGAUAUGUCCAUUGGACAUACUGCUGCAAUGUGUUGUAUCCUAUGGUGAAAAGAUAAACUCAAAUCAAAGGAUGUGUCUAACGGAUGUAAUUCUCUCUAUAUAUGUUGGCACUAGUAGAAAAAAACACUUUGCGCGACGUACGUACAUUCGUCAAGCAAAGUCAAAAAUCGUUGCCUAAGGGUUUGCGCGAUGCAACCUUCGUCGUGCGCUAACCGUCGUGCCAAGGCAGUGAUGGUAGGAUUUGUGUGACAAAGAAAUAACAUGCGUCGCGCAAAGUGGCUUUGCGUGACGCACGGCCUACAUCGUGCAAAGAUACUUUGCGUGACGCACUUCCUACGUCGUGCAAAGCCACUUUGCGUGACGCGCGUCCUACGUCGUGCAAAGCCACUUUGCGCGACGUGCGUGCGUCGCGCAAAGUGACUUAAUGGCAAAAAUAUUUUUUAUUUACUUUUUAAUAAAUAUUGUAAUUAAAUUCUAAACAAUAAUUAAUAAACCAAGAAAAAAUAUUUAAUUAUAAAAUAUAUGAAAAUGUACAUACAAGAUGUCCGAACAAAAAUAGGAAAAACUACAAUAACUAUCUUCUAGGUUUGAUACAUCAAGCUACUGGGUAUCGGCUAGGCAAAGUGGCUGGGAGGUCAAAGAUGGAGCAAGAUCAAGUGCUAGCAUCAGGAUUUUGCUUGACAGUCUUCAUAGUUAGCGUGCUCAGCUCCAAGGCAUCAAGUAACUGCAAGAAAUUGUGAAGAUCAAAUAUCCUACACAACAGUGCUUAUUAUAUGAAAAGAAAGAUAACUACCUUUUCCAUCAGUGCUCCACCAAUCAACAUUAUGCAAAAUUUUCAAAUAAUCCUUUAUAGAUGGUGAAAAGAAUUCCGCUGCACUCUUCAAUUAUUCAUUCAUAGUUGCGGAUGGUAAACGUCUAAAAGAAAAUUUUGCUACAACAGCAUGUAAUCCUCUAUAGUUUGGUUUCCAAAAAUAAUAUUGCAGAAUCUGAUACCUAUUUCUGCUUUCAAAAACAACCUGGGAGGUGUUCGUGCAAAUAAUCCUACUACAAUGUUAUAUUUUUAAGAAAAUUACCUAUGAAAGUCUGUUGCCCAAUAGCACAAUAGAAGACACCUCACUAGCAGCUCCAACACCACCACCCAUGGCAAUUCCAACAUGCGAUGAAGCCAAUGCUGCAGCAUCCAUCACCAACCAUUGCUACGACGUUCUGAUCCUUCUGAAGUUCCAUUAUGAAAUUCUUCUUUUCCGUCGGUUUAACACCAGAUAUCACCUGCAACCCACAUCAUAGGCUAUACAAUUAAAUUCGAUAGAGAAAAGAAAAAAUGGGAUCCAGUUUGAUACCGGGCAACUAUUUGGGCAUCAGUUUCAAAUGAGUUUAGGGAUUGAGUAUUCUCACUCUUCUAUAAUGACGAAUGUGUUAGCAGCUGUGAUUAAGUUUAGGUUUCAAGUCUUGAGGUUUUUGUAUUAUAGGCUAGGUAUACAGAUUGUGGAUACCUUAUCCAAAAGUUGUAUUGUUUAUGAUAUUAUUAAAAAUCUUUUUCAUUUCAAAAAAUAAAUUAAAAUAAAGGAUAGAGGACAAGCUUUUGGUGUUCUGCUUGAAGUUGUUUCACGAUUUUUUACAUUUUUCCAAAUUGAUAAAAUUUUUGUUUCCCAUCAAAGAAAGAAGUAAUUAAGAACUCCUUGCCUUCUCUAUCGGAAUACCAACAGCAGACGCGAUGUACUCCGCGUUAUUGUUUUGUACCCAGAUAGCAUGUAUACAUCGAUCCUUGCUUAGAUAAAGAUUUAACAACUUGUCCAGCAUCUACCCUUAUCUGAUCCUCAAAAUAAAUGAGACCGGCAAGAGUACUAUCAAUGCCAACAUAUACAAUAGAUUGACUCGUAUGGGCUUCUACUUCUUCAAAUGGGUAACUCCAUGCCUGCAUAUAUUUAGUUUUUCAAUGGGAC
rnacentral:lncRNA from 1 species